GUAAAAAAAGGUGAUACUACUAGUAUAAAACACAAGAAAGACACCACUUAUAAAUCCCUAAACAUAGAUGAACUGCAAAAAGAAUAUUCAGAGUUCAGUACACCAAGCUCCAAUAUAAACCGCUGACUAUGAUUGGUGAUCCCCCUACUUCAACCUCCUGAUGGCUACUACUUGGACACAAAGUUUUUCUCUAACUUAGCAAACCAACAAAUCUCCUUGACUUCACUCUUGCUUCAGAGCACACACCAACUUUCCUAAUUGACUGCCUAGCUGCCUCUGCCUCUGCUGCUCCUCCGCUGGUUUAGCUCUCCUUCUCACCUAGUACCUCCUAAUUUGCAAGCAACUGCAAUGCAACAACCACUGACUCUGUGAUUCAUCCAUCUAUUUCUCCUGCCCUCCUCACUCACCCUCCUCUAUACAAACAAAAAAUCUUCUUAGGGGGAACCAAUUAAGUAAUGGAACUGCUUAGGAAAUUAAGUAAUGGCCGACACCAACUCGUACACGAUGCCUAAAUCCAGUGCUUGUUUGACUUUACUGAAUUACCAACGCAUGGCACACAACACAUUUAUAUUUUGUCAGGUCACACAACACUUGUUCUGCAAAUCUUAGUGAACUUUUGAGUGCAUUUAUCACUUGUUGGAGUAUGCUACAGCUUCUGCAAAUCACAAACUCCUUUAGUUUACAUCUCAGUUUUAGCUAACACUACAGUUUCAGUGAAGGAGUCAUAACUGAAUAACAGGCACUAUAAAUGAAUUUGAUGGCAUCAAACUAAAUUUUCAAACUCACAGCAACAAAUUCAACAGUGAGUAAGCCUAAAGAUUCUUCUCUUGCAAACCCCCAACCCUAGCUACUUAAUUCUCCAACCCCCUUUCCUUGUCCAAAAUUCUCCAACCCCCAACCCUAGAACACAUCAGAAGCAAAUCAAGAGGGGGAAGCGGCUCGGGUGCUCACUGGGGAGGUCGAGGGCGACUCGGGGUAGCCGGAGCUAGUCGAGGCGGCGCGAAUUCGGCGUCGAGCGGUGGCGAUGGUGGCCGAGGCGGAGGAAAUCGGCGGGCGUCGAAGGGAUGGCUCGAGGGCGUCCGAGCUCGUCCGGGUCCUCGUAGUCGAAGAGGAAGACCUCCUCCUCCUCCUCCUUCGNNNNNNNNNNNNNNNNNNNNNNNNNNNNNNNNNNNNNNNNNNNNNNNNNNNNNNNNNNNNNNNNNNNNNNNNNNNNNNNNNNNNNNNNNNNNNNNNNNNNNNNNNNNNNNNNNNNNNNNNNNNNNNNNNNNNNNNUCCUCCUUCGGCUCGGGGCGCGGGGGCGCGGGGCGGCGGCGCGGGGGAGCUGCAGUGGUGGGGGGCGCGGGGGCGGCGGCGCGGGGGAGCUGCUGUGGUGGGGGUGCGGGGGCGGGGGUCGGGGCGACGGCGUCGUGGGUCAGGUGAGCGCGCUGGUGGACUGGCGAGGGAGAGGGACGAAGGGGAUCUGGCGAGGGAGAGGGAGGAAUUAGCUAAGGGGGGAAACUUACUAAUGGCGCACCCCGAAGCGGUGCGCCAUUAGAAUGUUUUUUUUACAUAGCAAUGGCGCACCCACGAUCGCUGCGCCAUUAGUAAUCUUUUUUUUUAUAUAGCAAUGGCGCACCAGCCAGAGGUGCGCCAUUAGUAAUCUUUUUUUAUAUAGCAAUAGCGCACCAGCCAGAGGUGUGCCAUAAGUAAUUUUUAUUAUUAUUAUUUUUUGUUGCAUCUAAUAAUUUUUUAGAAAAUGAAUAUGAAUAUGAAACAGUAAUAUUUUUUUAAAAAUAUCAUCAAAUUUGUUAUUUGAAAAUAUUUAUGAAUAUGAAAAAAUAUCAUCAAAUUAUUAUUUGAAAAUAUCAUCAAAUUUGUUAUUUGAAAAUAUAAUCAAAUUUGUUUUUUUUUGCAAUUUUAGUUGCAUUCNNNNNNNNNNNNNNNNNNNNNNNNNNNNNNNNNNNNNNNNNNNNNNNNNNNNNNNNNNNNNNNNNNNNNNNNNNNNNNNNNNNNNNNNNNNNNNNNNNNNNNNNNNNNNNNNNNNNNNNNNNNNNNNNNNNNNNNNNNNNNNNNNNNNNNNNNNNNNNNNNNNNNNNNNNNNNNNNNNNNNNNNNNNNNNNNNNNNNNNNNNNNNNNNNNNNNNNNNNNNNNNNNNNNNNNNNNNNNNNNNNNNNNNNNNNNNNNNNNNNNNNNNNNNNNNNNNNNNNNNNNNNNNNNGCGAGGGGGACCGGAUCUGGCGAGGUGGGAUAGCGAUCGAGAUGGAGGGGGGUCGAGAUCGAGUGUCCAUGAAAUUUAAAAAUAUUCAUGAGUUCAAAAAGUGCCCAUGAAAUACAAUCGAGAAAUGAAGGCUACAAUUUAAAUACAAUCGAUCUUAGCUAGCUAUCUGUUCACAAUCUUCUUGCCCUUAUUUUUCGUAAAUGGAGUUCUUCUCUUGAACGGACGUCCUUUAGGUAGGGUGGUCCUGCUUCUUCUUGUGGUGUAUGUUGAUACUUCAUCGUCGUCGUCAUGUUCCAUCUUCGGUUCGCCGUACUUGUCGAAGUCUUGCUCAUUGGCGACUCCAUCCAUUCCGAUGAUCUUCCUUUUGCCUCUCCUCACGACAACACGACUGGGCUUUGACGGGUCGGUAAUGAAGAAGCAUUGGUCCACUUGGGAAGCCUGUACCCAUGGCUCAUUUUUCGCGGUGAUGUUCGCGCCUGCGGUCUUGGAUUUGGCUUCGGGUAUAACCAUGGUGGUGAAAUACCGGUCUUCUUUUAUGACGCUCUUGGCCCAUCUGACACGGAACAUCGGGACCUUCUCUCCAGCGUAGGUCAGCUCCCAGAUCUCCUCGAUCCUUCCGUAGUAUUUGUCCUUGUCGUUACCGGUGUAGGAUUCCAUCGUUACCCCAGAGUUCUGAUAACCAUCGCUCUUCAUGUCCUUGUCCUCGGUGUAGAAUGUGUAGCCAUUGAUAUCGUACGCCUCAUACGUCAUCAGGUUGUGCUCGGCGCCCUGUGACAAGGCGAAUAUGAGUUGUUCUUUCACGGAAGAAUCCUCAUGUAAAGGGUAUGACAGAAGCUUCUGCUUGAACCAACGCGUGAAACAUGAGUUGUGCUCUUUGAUUAUAUCUCCGUCCGUCCUCUGUUGGCCUCGGUCAUUGUACGUCUUCUCAAUAAAGGUUUUGUGCUCUACCACCCAAGGAUCGACCACUUCUAUGUGUUGUAGUGCGACUAGGUUUGCUCUUUCAAAGUCGGCGAGUCGACCAUCGAAGUAAACAUGCAUUUCGCGGCGACCCUCACGGUGACCCAUCCAGCGAGCCUGCCGAGGUGCCUGUUGACGGGCAGACCAACGGGGUUCUCGAUGCCUAGAUAAUUCGUGCAGUAGGAGAUGCACUCUUCAGUCAGAAAGCCCCUGGCUAUGCUUCCCUCUGGACGUGACAUGUUGCGAACGUAUCCUUUGAUGACACCAUUCAUCCUUUCGAAUGGCAUCAUGCUGUGCAGGGACGUCGGCCCGAGUUGGAUGAUAUCCUCCACGAUAUGGACCAGCAGAUGCACCAUAACGUCGAAACAUGCGGGCGGGAAGUACAUCUCAAGCUCGCAUAGUAUCACCACGAUCUCUUCCUGUAGCCUUCUGAAUUGCCUCACGCCAACCGACUUCCGAGAGAUGAUGUCGAAAAAGUUGCAUAGGCCAAAUAGCAUUUCACGGAUGUGCGCGUCCAUGAUCCCAUGGAUUGCAACUGGAAGUAUCUGCGUCAUCAGCACGUGACAGUCGUGAGACUUCAUCCCGCUGAACUUCUGCUUCGCUGAGUCUAGGUAUCUGCUUAUCUUCCCCGCGUAACCGUAAGGAAGUUUUACUCCUACGAGGCAGGUGAAAAACUGAUCGAUCUCCUCCUGACUUAGAGUGAAGCACGCGGGAGGGAAGUCAUUUCCGGUCUUCUUGGCCUUUUUGCCUUUGCGACGACUUUCCGUGUCCUGCUUCGCCUCAUCAUCAUCAUCAUUAGCGUGAAGCUCCUCCCUGAUGCCCAUUGAUUUCAAGUCUGCCCUUGCUUUCGGCCCAUCUUUGGUCCUCUCUAGCAUGUUGAGCAGGGUACCAAGCAGACUCUCGCACACGUUCUUCGUGAUAUGCAUGACAUCAAGGCUGUGAGGCACACGGUGGAUCUUCCAGUACGGCAAGUCCCAGAAAACAGACCUCGUUUUCCAUACCUUCAGCAGCGGCUCUGGCGCCUUUCGCUUCUUUCCCGGCUCUGGCGCCUUUUGCUUCUUUCCCGGUAGUGGGCAAUCUUUCCAAUUUUUCAACAGCUCGUCUAUUUCCUCGCCGCUCCUCGUACGCGGGCGUCUUCGGGGUUCGGUUUCACCAUCGAACAGAUCCUUGCGUUUCCUCCACGGGUCAUCGUCGCGAAGCCACCUUCGAUGUCCCAUGAACACGGUUUUCGAAGACCCGGGAUCUCUAUCUAGCUGGCGAUACGUUGUGUCAUCCAUGCACCUGACGCAUCCAGAAAAUCCGUGGACCACCUGCCCCGCGAGAUAUCCGUAACCGAGAUAGUCGUGCACCGUCGUGAGCAGUGCGGCUCUCAUAGGGAAAUAUUCUUUCUCUGCGGCGUCCCACGUAUUGGCUGGCGUUUUCCACAGCGUGUCUAGCUCCUUUUUCAGCAGCCCCAGAUACAGAUUGAUGUCGUUCCCUGGUUGUUUCGGCCCUUCAAUUAGCAUACUCAUGUGAAUGUACUUCCUCUUCAUGCACAACCAGGGGGAAGGUUGUACAUCCACACAAACACAGGCCAGGUGCUAUGUGUGCUUCUCUGGAUGCCAAACGGAUUGACUCCAUCGGUGCUCGCGCCCAGCACGAUGUUCCUUGGAUCCUUCCCAAAUUCUCGGUGUUCGAAGUUCAACGCUUGCCACUGGCUCCCAUCCUUAGGGUGACUCAGCAUCUUGUCUUUUUUAUUUAUCUCCGGAUCAUUUCCGUCAUCUUCUCGCUUCUUCUCCUCCCUAUCCGCGUGCCCACGCAGGAGCUUUGCUACCUUAGGGUCCGCGAAAUACCGCUGCAGACGAGGAGUGAUCGGAAAGUACCACACCACUUUUCGAGGAGCUUUCUUCCUCUUCUUGUAUCGAGUGACGCCGCACACCGGACAUAUGGUAGACUCCGCGUGCUCGUCCCGAUAAAUGAUGCAAUUGUUCAUGCACACAUGGUAUUUCACGUGCGGUAAAUCCAGAGGACACACGAUUUUCUUCGCCUCCUCGAAACUGGUCGGGCACUUGUUCCCCUUGGGAAGACGUUCGUGCCAGAAUGACAUGUUCUCGUCGAAGCAUGCGUCGGUCAUUUUGUGUUUUACCUUCAUCUCCAGAGCCAUGAGCGUUACUUUCAGGCGGGUAUCCUCGGGCCUGCAUCCUUCAUACAAUGGAGUAACCGCGUCUAUCUCCAGUUGAUCCAGCUUGGCUUUCUCUCGGGCGGCAGCUCUUGCGUUAUCCGUCUGCUUGAGAAGCAGCUCUUGAAUAUGAGGGUCCUGCACCCAGCCCAUCGAUGGUCCAUCGUCGUCUGCUCCGCCGGCAUCUUCAUCUUCAUGAUCAUGCCCUUCGUCUGCUCCGGCAUCUUCCUCAUCAUCAUGUCCGGCAUCUUUUACAUGAUGACUGUGUACAGCAUCACCGUCGUGAUCAUGUCCUGGAGAUUCUUCGUCUUCUCGCCCGCCCGAGCCGCGGUGGUUGUUUUGCUGCCCUUCCUCAUUUCUUGCCCAGCCCCCAUGGACGACUUCAUAGUCAUCUUCAUCACCUUGCCACCGAUAGCCAUCCAUGAAACCACGCAAGAGCAGGUGGUCCCGCACCUGCCCGGAAUCCGGGUCCGCAAUAAGGCUCUUCAGCUUGCAUCUUCGACACGGACAUCUUAUCUCCGUCUCGUUCUUUUCAAGUAUCUCGGCCUUCGCGGAGCUCAAAAACCUAUUCACGAUGCCUUCGGUCAUCGUGCGGACCAUGGUCGCCUGCGGGGUAGAGCAAAACGAUAUUUUAGAACCAAGAAAAAAUUUGGCAUGACUUUCCCUAAAAAUAGGACCAAAAAGAAUGCAUAGUGCCAAAAUUCUCGCCGAAACGGAAAUGAAUCAACAUUCCGGCAAAAUAUUGGCAACUAUCGCAUUUCAAAUACCGGUACCUGCAAACACAAACAUAUAUGCAACACCACAAACAUACAUAGAUCUAGCUAGGCCAUAAAAAGUGCAUGUGCAUGUUGUUGGAGGGAGAACAACAUAAAGAUAGCUUCCCCUUACUUACCUAUCAAAAAAAGGUAAUUUAACCACUUAAUUUGGAUGAAUUUAUGCUGCAAAUGAGGUGAGGAGGAGGAGGCAGCCGAGACAAGCUUGGAGGAGGAGGUGAAGAGAAUGAAGUGGGGAAAGUGAGUGGGUAGUGUGGCUGUCCAAAAUAUCUAGCUCGUCCCAGGUUACUAAUGGCGCACCACCAACAAAUGCGCCAUUAGUAACCCUGGUUACUAAUGGUGCACCUGCUGGUGGUGCGCCAUUAGUAGUUUUGCAAAAAAAACACUAAUGGCGCACCAGGGAACAGUGCGCCAUUACUAGUUUAAACUAGUAAUGGCGCACUGACCCCUGGUGCGCCAUUAGUAGUUUUGCAAAAAAUAAAAAAUAAAAAAAAUAUAGUAGUGGCGCAUUAUGAGGCUGGUGCGCCAUUACUAGUUAGAACUAGUAAUGACGCACUGUGCCCUGGUGCGCCAUUAGUAUAUUUGAAAAAAUAAAAUAAAAUAAUUGUUACUAAUGGCGCACCGUGUGCCUGUUGCGCCAUUAGUGUCUUUCACACUAAUGGCGCACCAGCCCGUGGUGCGCCACUGCUAUAUAGUAGUGGCGCACCACAUGUCUGGUGCGCCAUUAGUGGCCAUUCCAUCUAUAGCCCUUUUCCUAGUAGUGUCAUAUAGAUGUAAAUAUUUCAGCAAGACAUGGUAUAUAGUGAACCAAGUCUAGCUCAAGUGGUUAAGUUUUUUGUGGUGGAACCAGCCCACCAGGGUUCAGUCUUUCUGACAAUGUUCUUUCAGUGGGAGCGGACGUUCUCCUCGAGUAUGAAUUCGCCUAUGGUACUUAUAAGGAUAGGGUGUGCGUACAUGCAUUCAUAGGUUAUGAGCGUCCGCACGGACGACACCAAUGCUGAGGUGGACAUCAAUAGAAGCUCGCCGAUGGUGGAGUCGCAUCGCGUCCCAGAGGAAGGACCAUCGGUGUAUCACGGAGGAAAGAACAUAUGAGUUGCACAGCGUGAUGUGUCAGCGCGCGAACGCGAAGACCCAGGCCUUCGACGACUUGAUUGCGGAUAGAAACAUGAGUUCGUUCUGCGGAGCAGCAACCCACGAGAUGGUGCCAGGAGCACAUGGACAACCGAGUUGAUCAAGAUCUUACGUUAGAUUGAUCCGACGGUUGAGUGGCACAAAACGCUGUGGAGGCUUGUAGGUAGGUGAGUCUUGAUGUUUUUUUAUUGUGCCCAACAAGGAUGAAUAGAGCAUGUAUUGCCGUCUUCAGUUUACCAUCUCAUGCACACCAAAUAGAAGAUCCUAGAACUCAUGGUAGAGCAUAAACAAAGGUCACACGUCAAGCAACAUCAUCAAAUUGGGAGCCACAUCAAUAGAACGUGAGUGAGAGCAUCUCCAAGUAGACUGGGCUAAUUGACAACCCCCUGGUGCACAUAUGUCCGGACGUCUUGGCACACAACAGUGUCCCUCAACUUAUCCCUAAAUUUUCCGUACACAUGCAUAUCAUUCGUGAGGAUGGUCCAGGGUCCCAUAAAAGGGAGGAAAGAGAGGGAAAAAGAGAGAUAAAGUGGUCCGGGUGGGCGGGUCCAACGUGGCGGAUUGUCCAAACACGUCCAGAUCCCCAUUUCCUCCAUCAUAUGGGCAAAUGGGCUGGGUUUGGGGGGUCCAGUAGGAGAGGUGUUUUUCUAUCUAAACGUGUCCGCAGUGUACCCGAACAUAUGGGGAGGAUUUGGGGGCCUCGGCUUGAGAUGCUCUUAAGGCCUUUAAAAGACAAUGUGCCAGUAGCUGCACCUAGAGUUGGGCAAGCAAACCCAAUGAUGCCUCGUGAUGGUCCCACUCUGAACUCCAAAACCAUAGAGACUCCGAGUUAACGAACUUCAUGCUUGUGGCCUUCCUAUGCUUCUACUUUUGCUUGUGUGCUUUAAAAGCUUGAGAACUUGUGCUUGUGUUGUUGAGAACGUGUUAUUGUUAUGUAUAUUGUGGAUGGUGAUUUAUGUCGAGUACACUUUACCAAGAGCAAAACUUCGCAAAGCUUGUGGAGUUUUAACUGGUUUUACCACGUUUUUUGGGCACUCGGCAAUUAUACAGAUUCUAGUAGUGAGUAAAACUGUCAGUUGCUGCAGAAGGAGAUUACUAAAAUAGAAGCUGGUAAACUAAAACCUUGCUGAACUGGAGGACCGUUUCGGUUAUUGCUUAAGUUCUUGAAGAGAUAUAGAGAUUGCAUAGUAUUCUAACAUUGUAGUGAUGACGUUCAUCACCUCACAUUUAUCAAACAAAAGUGAGAACUCCUUGUUGGUGACACCGCGAUCAAUUCUUCAUGGCAAGCUAAGUUGCACGGAUACGGCGAUACGGAUACAGACACCACGAUACGUCAAUUCUUCAAAAGCGCACAUACGAUGAUACAUUUGUAUAUGUAUAAUAAAUACUAAAGCUAUAUAGAAAAUGGUGAUUAUAUGAAAAUAUGACAAUUUAAGAACACUGACAAGGUGAUAGAACACAUGGAAAAUGCACCAUAAAUAUAAUCCUGAUUCUCUUGACCAGUUGAACUUCAAUUUGAAGCUGCCGAAGAGUAGGAUCAGCCACGUUUGGGCCGGGAUGAGAAAUAAUGAGGCGAGAAAAAGGAGGGGGUUGUCGUGGACUCGUGGGUUUGGAUAUAUAGGUUUCCUUGUGUCCACGGAGCACACGGAUAUCCCCAAAGUAUCUUAAUUAAUAAAUUUAUUUGUAUGAACAAUAGAAAAUUGGUUGAUAUGUUUCGAGUAGUACCUGAAUGCAUCCGAGUGUCCGAGUAUCUGAUAUGUUGAUACACCUGAUAUGGCAAUUUCCAAAAGUAUCUAGGUAACGGAAGAUGCUAUUCCGCGCGCGCGCUGGAACGAUCGGUUUCGGGCAGGAACUAAACUUUCCUUCCUUAGUCUAGCGAACAGAGGNNNNNNNNNNNNNNNNNNNNNNNNNNNNNNNNNNNNNNNNNNNNNNNNNNNNNNNNNNNNNNNNNNNNNNNNNNNNNNNNNNNNNNNNNNNNNNNNNNNNNNNNNNNNNNNNNNNNNNNNNNNNNNNNNNNNNNNNNNNNNNNNNNNNNNNNNNNNNNNNNNNNNNNNNNNNNNNNNNNNNNNNNNNNNNNNNNNNNNNNNNNNNNNNNNNNNNNNNNNNNNNNNNNNNNNNNNNNNNNNNNNNNNNNNNNNNNNNNNNNNNNNNNNNNNNNNNNNNNNNNNNNNNNNNNNNNNNNNNNNNNNNNNNNNNNNNNNNNNNNNNNNNNNNNNNNNNNNNNNNNNNNNNNNNNNNNNNNNNNNNNNNNNNNNNNNNNNNNNNNNNNNNNNNNNNNNNGCUGGCCCCAUCACCUGAAAUCACGGGGGCAGUGUUUUGAUGGUGCGCGCACACUUGGUGGGGCCCCUGCCCUUUUAACAGCGCCCAGUAGAUCGAUCGUUGCAACGCGCGAUCGCGAAAGAGUCGGUUGAUAUGUUUCGAGUAGUACCUGAAUGCAUCCGAGUGUCCGAGUAUCUGAUAUGUUGAUACACCUGAUAUGGCAAUUUCCAAAAGUAUCUAGGUAAAAUAGACAACAAGGUUUGCCAUAAAAAAAGGUUACACACCAAAAGGAACAUCAUCUGGUUGGGGGAUAACCACAUCAAUGGAAUGUGAGUUAAAGCCUUUCAAAGACACUGAGACCGGCUGCAAUCAGAAAAGCGCCAAACCUUCAUUGAGGCCGACACAACUAACAACAAAAGAACUCAAGUUUUUUUCCCUCACGUCGCCUCCCUCUAGGUGACGCCAGGGGGCCCCGAACCCUAGCGCCGCAGGCCUCCUCUCGCGCCUCCCUCUGCCGCCACUGCCGCUGGCGAGGGCCGCGAUGGCGGCGGGCCCGACGCCGAAGGCACCUGGGCGGGUGGAUGCGGCGAGAUCUCAUCUGAGGCGGCAGGGGCGGCCCUUCUCGUGGGAGCCGAAGGCAGCGACUGGGGCGGCGAUCCCUUGCCGUGCGGCGGUGGCCGAAGCGCCAUAAGCUGGCGGAGCGGCGGCCCUGAGAUGGACGGCGGCGGUCGCGGUGCCCCAUCCGACGAGGUGCCUGAUCCGCGCGGAGAUGGUGGCGGCGACGACUGCGGAUCCAACGCCCCGAUCGGAUCCGCCGCAAGGUGGCCUUCCGCCGACCCGCGGUGCGUGGAGCGACCGGUGAGGAGAUGUCGGAUCUCCGUCGGUUUACGGACGGCAGCGUUCGUCUUGGUGGCGAGACUCCGCUCGGUUCCAGCCAACCGCGAAAUUGGGACGACGUGGCUUUCGGUGAAAAUCGCGCCCGACUGCGGUCAUGGCGGACGAUGGUGGCGUCUCAGACGUCGUUCCCUUCUCGAGGCAUCGUCGUUGGAGGUCAUGUCAACCUGAUCGGAAGGUUCCGGGGGAAACUCUAGAUCUGGGUCUACCGGAUCGGAGGAUGGCGACGUUUCGAUGUCGUUCUCCCUCCUGGGGGCAUCGUUUUGGAGCAAGUGUUGGCUGGACGGGACAAGAGGAGGAGCGGCGUUGUAUCUGACACGUCGACAACGGCGGGUCUCAGUGGCAUGGAGCAGUGGAGUCUCGCCGGUGGGCGGGUGAUGAUGGACGAGCGCAGGAUGGUGGCGUUGUCUGGCGUCGUGGUGGCGUCGACGGUAGCUAGACCGGGCAAGGUACAUGCAGCAAUACAGCACUAAAGAUGGAUUGGUGGCUGGUGGCUGCGGUGGCUUCAUACCCGGCAGGCGUCCUGGUUGAGGAGUGCACCGGACUGGUGGGUGCCCCAUACCCGGCAGGCGUCCUGGUUGGGACCUCGGGUCUUAGAUGUUGGGUUUGGCUGCGAGGUCUGUUUGGUAUUAGGCCCAGAUGUUGCCUAGAUGGUGGCUUUAGUCUUACUUUUAUAUGACUUUAUAAGGUCUUGUGUGAAUAAUUAAUAAAGUGGUUGCAUGCAUCGUCCAGAUACAGAGGCCGGAGGUCCUCCUCCAUUUCUAAGAAAAAAAGGUUUUUUUUUCGAGAAGGACAAAAAAGUCAAGUAACCCAACCACCACAUGAAAUUCGAACCAAUAUCUUUGUUGUAGAAAGGAAUAUGAAGGAGGGGUGCUACAUCUUCAGUAAGCAGCGAAGCUCUCUCACUGUCGAGUCCGACCUCAUUGCGUCUGUGCCAGAUCCAUCGUCGCCGGAUCCGGCGAUCAAUCUCGGAUAGUUCUUUGCAUCUUGUUGGAGUCAAUGUUAUUCUCCUCCUCAUCUUGCAUCACUGCUUGGGAGGCAUUGUUAUUUGCCGUCAGGGUCCAAGCAAGCUGAUUCGAUGGCAUAUCAGAAAUUCAGAACCCACGCCGGCGGCAAUAUCCAUGGAUUUCUAUUGUUUGCGUUUACGGUCAACAUUGAUCUCCACUCAUUUUGGUCGGGGAAGAGUUCUUUUCAUGCCCCCUCCAUAGGAUCACAUCCAUGUUCCCUAGACGCGUGUCCCCUACCGCCAUGCUUGUACGGGGAGGUGGCCUCGCCAUGCAUAUCAGACCCUCCACGGCCACAUCUAGCAGUGUUCUGAGCUUGUGAAGCCCUGAUGUGUGAGUUCCCUGAUGCGUUUUCAUCGGAGUCAAAGCCCUUAGAAGAGGAUGCCGCACACAGUUUCACCGCCCAAUAGACAGAACACUCCAAGUGCAAGUCACAAAAACUAACAUCACCCAUAUGGUUACCCGAAAGAUUCGCGAGGUGUGUGCAUGUCUCAUUGAGCGAAUCAUAGACUUGUAGCAUCGGACUUGCUUUGUCAUUAACUAAGCAAUAGCACAUUAGCUUUGCACCAUGAUGUUGGAAUUUGCUAGUGGGCUUUUGGCCCAAAGCCCAACUAAAAUUCUGAAAUUCUUUUGGCCCAUUCAUGCACACAUGUGAGUGGAGUGAGUGAGGCUAAAGUUUAGUCCCAACUCAUAAGUUGAGAGAGAGCUGCACCUUUUUAUAAGGUGAGCUCUUCUACCACUUGUAUGAGCAUGAGAAGAGGAGACCUACACGCGUGCUCCUCCUCGCUCGCCAUGCCUCGCCUCGCCACGGCACGACGCGCCGCGGGUUGCGGGAUUGAGCCGAGCCGAGGACAGAGCUUCGUAUGGUUUCUCACCACCGUUCCAGAUCAUUGCGCCGCCAAGCAAGACAGCAGGCCUCCGGAACCCCGCCUCUCGUGAUCCUGUACGGGAGAGGGGCGAUCAGGUUUUUGGGGAACGCACUCGCGCGACUGCUGGCAGCGACGACUUCGCGAACGACGACUUCUUCCCCGACCUCGGCAACCUCAUCCUCGACGACAUGGGCGACAACGUCAACGCCGGCGGUGCUGCUCCCGCUGCACCGUAUGUGAUUCUAUCCUUCCUGUUCGAGAUCGUGGUAGAAUUCAUGUUUUCUAGUAUGUGAUCUGUUCAUCUACUAUGCUGUCAUGAUCUAUUUCCUAUUUAUUCGGAUUAAAUCUCGUAGUAAUUUGCUCAUAUUUUCCAACAAUCCAAAAACCUGAUCAUAGGUAAUUUACUCCGAGUGGUUUUGCUGCGCAUCUGAAGCCGCCUGCCUUUAAGGGGGCGCAAUAUAAGAGGUGGCGCACGAGAGCAGUCUACUGGUUUCAGACCAUGGGCUGCUAUGACGCCACCAAGGGGAAGCCUGAGGGCGAUCUUAAUCCAGCACAACUGGAAGCUUUUGAGAAGAUCGAUACUCUCUUUAAAGGCGCUCUUCUGAGUGUUCUUGAUGACUCCAUUAUGGAUUCAUAUAUGUCGUUUGACAACGGCAAGGACAUGUGGGCUGCGCUCGAGGCCAAGUUUGGUGCCUCGGACGCCGGCAGCGAGUUGUACGUCAUGGAGCAAUUCUAUGACUACAAGAUGACUGAUGAGCGCUCUGUUGUACAGCAGGCUCAUGAGAUACAGUCGCUCGCAAAAGAACUUGAGUACUUCAAGUGUGUGUUGCCGGACAAAUUUGUUGCCGGAGGCAUCAUUGCCAAGCUUCCACCUUCGUGGAACAAUUUUGCUACUUCCCUGAAACACAAGAGACAGGAGUUUUCCGUUGCGGAUCUCAUUGGUACUCUUGAUGUUGAAGAGAAGGCGAGAGCAAAGGACACACGUGCUCGAGUUGCUGAGGGAGCUUCUAGUGCCCACAUGGUACAGAAGAACUUCCCGCCCAACAAGUUCAAAAAUAACAAGAACAAAACUCAGGGCAAAGGCAAGUUUGAUACAAAGAACAAGCCGUCACAUUCUACCAACUUCAAGAAGAAUUCUCAUAAGAAGGGGAAGGGACUUUGCCAUGUCUGCGGUGAUCCUAAUCACUGGGCUCCGAAGUGUCCUAACCGCUUUGAGGAGCGCGAACAUGAGAAGAGCGGCAAGUCCGCUAAUGUUGUCAUCGGUGAUACUGAUAUGAAGGAUUCUGGGUACGGUAUUCUUCCUACCAUCCUUUCAGUAUUUCAAUCUCCUGAUUGGUUAAUUGACACCGGUGCCAAUGUACAUGUUUGUGCUGAUGCCUCCAUGUUUUCCUCUUACCAGGUCACAGGGACUUCUCCCGUGCUGAUGGGGAACGGGUCACAUGCCAUCGUUCGAGGUGUUGGUACGGUCGAUCUGAAGUUUACUUCGGGGAAGACCGUGCGUCUGAAGAACGUUCAUCAUGUGUCGUCCAUCAAUAAAAAUCUCGUUAGCGGUUCCCGUUUAUGUCGAGAUGGUUUUAACUUGGUUUUGGAAUCCAAUAAAGUUGUAAUUUCUAAGUGUGGACAAUUUGUUGGAAAAGGCUAUGAGUGCGGAGGCUUGUUCCGCCUAUCCUUAUCAGAUAUUUGCACUAAAGUUAUUAAUAAUGUUUGAAAAAAUAAUGAGUCUGAUAUUUGGCAUUCACGACUUUGUCAUAUUAACUUUGGUUGCAUGACGCGGCUAGCCAAUAUGAAUUUAAUUCCAAAAAUCUCUACUGUCAAAGGCUCCAAGUGCCAAGUAUGUGUGCAAGCUAAGCAACCUCGCAAGUCCCAUAAGACUGCUGAGGCAAGAGACUUGGCGCCACUAGAGCUUAUACAUUCUGAUCUUUGUGAGAUGAAUGGCGUGUUGACAAAAGGUGGAAAGAGAUACUUCAUGACGUUGAUUGAUGACUCCACUAGAUAUUGUUAUGUGUAUCUUCUGAAAUCAAAGAUGAGGCUUUAACUUUUUUCAAAAACUAUAAAGCUGAGGCAGAGAACCAACUUGAUCGAAAAAUUAAACGGCUUAGGUUCGAUCGUGGUGGAGAGUAUUUUUCCAAUGAAUUUGAUUUGUUUUGUGCGAAACAUGGUAUAAUCCAUGAGAGGACGCCUCCCUACUCACCUCAGUCAAAUGGGGUAGUCGAAAGAAAAAACCGAACUCUAACUGAUAUGGUUAACACCAUGUUAGACACAUCGGGUCUUUCCAAGGAAUGGUGGGGGGAGGCGCUAAUGACUGUGUGUCAUAUCCUAAACCGAGUUCCCACAAAGCAUAAGACCAUGACUCCUUUUGAGGAAUGGAAAAGGAAAAGAUUGAACCUCUCUUACCUACAUACUUGGGGUUGUUUGGCGAAAGUCAAUAUACCAAUUCCCAAGAAGCGCAAGCUUGGACCGAAAACCGUGGAUUGUGUUCUUCUGGGCUAUGCUUUUCAUAGCAUUGGCUAUAGAUUUUGAUAAUAAAAUCUGAGGUAUCCGACAUGCAUGUUGGUACGAUUAUGGAGUCGAAUGAUGCAACUUUCUUUGAGGACAUAUUUCCUAUGAAGGAUAUGUCGAGUUCAUCAAAUCAGGAGAUACCUACUCCAUCUAGUGAGGAACUCACUGUAAUUCCUGAACCCACCAUUGCGAUGGAACACGUUGAGAAUCCUGUUGAGGGUGACAAUGAAACUCCUGUAAGGAGUAAGAGACAGAGGACUGCAAAGUCCUUUGGUGAUGAUUUCAUUGUGUACCUUGUGUAUGACACACCCAGGACUAUUUCAGAAGCAUAUGCAUCUCCUGAUGCUGACUACUGGAAGGAAGCUGUUCGUAGCGAGAUGGAUUCCAUCUUAGCUAACGGAACCUGGGAGAUCACUGACCGUCCUUAUGGGUGCAAACCUGUUGGAUGUAAGUGGGUGUUCAAGAAGAAGCUUAGACCUGAUGGUACGAUUGAAAAGUACAAGGCACGGCUUGUGGCUAAGGGUUAUACCCAGAAAGAAGGUGAAGACUUCUUUGAUACUUACUCACCCGUGGCUAGACUGACCACAAUUCGGGUGCUACUAUCACUGGCUGCCUCACAUGGUCUUCUUGUUCAUCAAAUGGACGUUAAGACGGCUUUCCUCAAUGAAGAGUUGAAGGAGGAAAUUUACAUGGAUCAGCUAGAUGGUUUUGUUGUACCUGGUCAGGAAGGAAAGGUGUGCAAGUUAUUAAAGUCUUUAUAUGGCCUUAAACAAGCUCCUAAGGAGUGGCAUGAGAAGUUCGAAAAAACAUUAACUGCUGUCGGCUUUGUAGUAAACGAUGGUGACAAGUGUGUGUACUAUCGCCAUGGUGGGGCGAAGGAGUUAUUCUUUGUUUGUAUGUCGACGACAUACUAAUCUUUGGAACCAAACUUGAUUUGAUCAAGGAGGUUAAGGAUUUCUUAUCUCGCUGUUUUGAGAUGAAGGAUCUAGGAGUAGCUGAUGUUAUCUUAAAUAUCAAGCUGUUGAGAGAUGAGAAUGGUGGGAUCACACUGCUUCAGUCUCACUAUGUGGAAAAGAUCUUGAGUCGUUUUGGGUAUAGCGACUGCACGCCUUCUCCAACUCCAUAUGAUGCUAGUGUGUUGCUUCGAAAGAAUCGACGGAUUGCUAGAGAUCAACUGAGAUAUUCUCAGAUUAUUGGCUCGCUUAUGUAUUUGGCGAGUGCCACGAGGCCUGACAUCUCUUUUGCUGUGAGCAAGCUGAGUCGGUUUGUGUCAAAACCGGGAGAUGAUCAUUGGCAUGCGCUUGAGAGAGUUAUGCGCUACUUGAAAGGCACUGCGAGCUAUGGGAUUCACUACACCGGGUAUCCAAGGGUACUAGAGGAUUAUAGUGACUCAAACUGGAUAUCUGAUGCUGAUGAGAUUAAGGCCACAAGUGGUUAUGUUUUUACACUUGGUGGUGGCGCUGUUUCCUGGAAGUCUUGCAAGCAGACCAUCUUAACGAGGUCAACUAUGAAAGCAGAACUCACAGCAUUAGACACUGCCACUGUUGAAGCAGAGUGGCUUCGUGAGCUCUUGAUGGACUUACCUAUGGUUGAAAAACCAAUACCCCCUAUCCUGAUGAAUUGUGAUAAUCAAACUGUGAUCGUCAAGAUAAACAGUUCUAAGGACAAUAUGAAGUCCUCAAAGCAUGUGAAGAGGAGACUAAAAUCUGUCAGAAAAGUGAGGAACUCCGGAGUUAUUACGUUGGAUUAUAUCCAAACGUCGAAAAACUUGACAGAUCCCUUCACAAAGGGUCUAUCACGUAACGUGAUAGAUAAUGCAUCGAUGGAGAUGGGCUUGAGACCCACCGCAUGAGUUGUCCAUAGUGGUAACCCACUCUAUGUGAUCGGAGAUCCCGUGAAGUAGAAGUGGGAGACAAGCUGUUGGUCAGCUGAAAGGAGAGUAUUCCUAUUUUAAUUGUCCCACUCCGUGAAGAUGCAAUACUCUCCUGAUCUGCAUGGCAGGUUGAUAUUUAUCUUAAUGUGUUCCAAGUGGCUUAUUUGAGUAAGCAGAGAUGUUGUCCUGCAGAGCAUCUCCUGAGGAACACACCUAUAUGAAUUCGACUGUUAACGUCGUAGUCUGUGAGAAUUGGGUGUUCUCUAAUAAAUUCAUGAAAGGCCCUGGAGUAUGACGUAUACGCUCCACCCGCGGGGAAGCUUGCGGCAGCCCAGUAUCGGUCAAGAAUUUGUGUGAAACUAGUCUCGCAGAAAACUUGUAGUUCAAGGCAUAGUCCACUAUUCAAGUUGUGAUAUAGUAUAGCAUAAAAAUCUAAGUGGAAGUUCAACUUCAUAGUCUUCACUAAGCACCGGUAUAUAAACAAUGUUUUGGAACCAAAUGUUGAAAUGUGCCAAUGAGACUUUGUGGAGGAUUGUUGGAAUUUGCUAGUGGGCUUUUGGCCCAAAGCCCAACUAAAAUUCUGAAAUUCUCUUGGCUCAUUCAUGCACACAUGUGAGUGGAGUGAGUGAGGCUAAAGUUUAGUCCCACGGUCCCACCUCAUAAGUUGAGAGAGAGCUACACCUCUUUAUAAAGUGAGCUCUUCUACCACUUGUAUGAGCAUGAGAAGAGGAGACCUACACGCGCGCUCCUCUCCUCACUCGCCUCGCCUCGCCUCGUCACGACGCGCCGCGGGUUGCGGGAUUGAGCCGAGCCGAGGACAGAGCUAUGCACGUUGUCUAUUCUUUUGGAUCGUGGCGACUCGGGCGUGGGGUUUACUCCCACGACCUACCCGGCCCGCACUAUAUAGUCAGGCAGACGUCUACCGCAGCCGCCGCUUCGUAUGGUUUCUCACCACCGUUCCAGAUCAUUGCGCCGCCAAGUAAGUCUUCUCCAUCCCUCCUUCUGGCAUGCACCGGGAGAAGGGACAGCAGGCCACCGGAACCCCGCCUCUCAUGAUCCUGUACGGGAGAGGGGCGGUCAGAUUUUUGGGGAGCGCACUCGCGCGACUGCUGGCAGCGAUGAUUUCGCGAACGACGACUUCUUCCCCGACCUCGGCAACCUCAUCCUCGACGACAUGGGCGACAACGUCAACGCCGGCGGUGCUGCUCCCGCUACAUCGUAUGUGAUUCUAUCCUUCCUGUUCGAGAUCGUGGUAGAAUUCAUGCUUCUAGUAUGUGCCCUAGAUGUAAUCUGUUCAUCUACUAUGCUAGUUCGCAUGAUUAGUUUAAUCUCUAUUAUUGCUGUCAUGAUCUAUUUCCUAUUUAUUCGGAUUAAAUCUCGUAGUAAUUUGCUCAUAUUUCCAACACGUGAUGCAUCACCCUGAAAGGGAUCACUAGAUCAAUGGUUUGAGCCAUCGGGAUCACAUACGCCUCGACCCAGGUGCCCUCGGCCAAAUCAGACAGAAGCCAUACGGUCGUGCAGGCAAGUAUGGUCCCACUUCCCUCCGAGUGAACCAUGCAAAGGGUGCCAUUGAGCUCGACCAUGCGGGUCUCCGAGUUGUGCUUUAGUAGCCUCACUGGGGCUUUGAUGGACCUCUUCCAUUGCUCGCUCUCGAGGUCGAGGCAGAUGACAUGGUCCUCCUCCACCUGGGGUACCGGCACCAACCCGUUAAGGAUGCACAUCACACCAUCCAACGUGUAAAGGAAGUAUAUCACACCAUCUAUCGUGACCACAGAGUUCUGGCGAUAGCCGACAUGGUCUGCAAUUGGGGGUGACUGCAUCCGCCUCCAAUCCUCCAUCUUCUGGCGCCGUCUUCCAACGUGAGAACCUAUCUUUUCUUUUCUUUUCUGAGGUAAUUCCGACGUGAGAACAUCGUAGAAAAUAUAUUCAGGAUGACUACAUCGGCGUCCAAUCCUCCAUCUUCUAUUGCUCAUGCGGCGGACCACCUUGAGCUUGCCCGACGGGGCGGCGUAGCCGAUACCAAAGGAAGUGUAGAACGCUCCGCCGUCGCCCAUCUCCGUGGAGGUCAUGAGCACUUUCCCGGUGGCCAGAUCGAUCACGUUCAGGACGCGGCCGUCGCGGGUGGCGCAGACGGGGCCGCCAGGGCCGGAGGUGAUGGUCCAGAGGUCGCCCAAGCCCUUGAUCACCCUCGCGACGCUGCCGUCCGUCUCCAGCAGCCGCAGGUCGCGGAGCUCUCCGCUGGCUACGCCAUGGAAGGAAUUGGCGACGAUGAGGAGCUGCGGCUCAGUUCGGGCCUUGUGCGCCGCGACGAACGCGGGGUCGGAGAUGAGUGAAGUCUAAUUUAAACUUGACUUUGUAGAGCUUGUCCAAAACAAACCCUCACCUCAAAAUCCCGAAAGGUUGUACCCUGUUUUUUCUAAUCCCGAUGUUUUUAACCUUGUUGCCUUUCAAAGGGAGGAUUUGGUGACGUGGCAAGGAAAGGCCUGGUUUGCUGACUAAAUUGAGUUUGAGGACACGCAUGCAUGAAUUGUUUUUCAUUUGCAUGGAUCGAUGGAUGUGUGUAAAUGCGGAUGGUGACCCAGGCCGUUCGCUCGCUCGAGCGUCGCCGCCGUUGCCAUCUCGAAUCCAAGUGCAAGACAGCAGGUCGUGUCGUCAGGAACCGCAUGGUGGUGCGCUGACCUUAGCCUGGCUGGUUCAUGCUGCGGCAGAGGGUUCCAGAGAUGUGGUGCAUUGAGCUGGUUGUUGGUAGAGGCAAGGUGCAAUGGGAGCAUGAGACGAGGGACGAGCAAGGGUCCGAGCUCUUGCUCUCGCGCUCUGCCAUCUUUGAACAGGGAAACGUCGUGCUUGAGGUUGAAAAGAAGGAGCUAACGGCGCCGCACAUGGUCGCCAGAGGCACCAGACUCGACGUCGUCGGCGCCGCCGUGCGACCAUGCUCACCGCUCGCGUGAAGACGUCUGCCAUUCAUGACGUUGGACGCCAACCACCUAUGCAGCACCAUGACAGUCGUCUUCUCCAUGUGCAGGCUACAAUACACCGCAUGAUUUUCCGGCAGGAUCCCGCCCGGCGAGCUCGGCCGUCUCGAGCUGUCGCGCGUCUACCUGCAACCGCGUCGUGUCGUCACAACCUGCCUUCACCGGUCACCGGUGCAUGGACGUCAGCUCCCCCAUCCGUGAGCGCACGAAGUGGCCACAUCGCUGCAUCGUCUUCUCCCGACGAUGCCUUUGUGCGUGCGCUGAACAGGCAGGAACACCGUGGACAUGGACGCCGCCGGCUUCCAUCUCUGCAGAAAGCGUCGUGCCAUGGUCGUCACCGGGGCGGGGAGCGAACACACUGCCUUUUUUGUGUGCUUGUGUGUACUUUGUGGAUAAUAUAUAGUCUUAUACAGUAUACGUAUAUGUUAAUUCAACAAGACAACCUCUUCGUACAGCUGGUUACUAGCUGCCCGAACGUACUUAGAUGUCUGUGUUGUGUCACUGUGCUAUUUCUUUCUCUCACUGCCAAGUGGGCUCCACACAAAAUGUCUUGCCUACCUCAUCCAUCCCGGCCUUUCCCGGUGUCAUGUUGAAAUUUCCUGUUUGGAUACAGCUUCAAGGUUUAAAGCGACCGGGAUUGCAAAAGACAGGGUAUAGACUUCAGGGAUUUAAUGGUGGAGGUUUAUUUUAGAUGCUCUACAACGUCAAGGUUUAAAUCAAACUUCACUCGUCGAAGAUGAGCGCACGCCACUCCCUGGACACGCACAGGAACCGGCACGCCGAUUUCACCGGCGUCCAGGAGAGUAUCUCGGAGACGACGUCGUUCGGUAGCGAUGUCAGCAUGGUCGAUCGGUGGCCGGACAGAACCACCCGCGAGUCGUUGCGACGAUCGCUCGUGUAGCUAGGGUUUUUUUUUUCCCGUGGUGUAGGUGUAGCUAGGUAUUUAAUCAAGCUGAUCGAGCGCACACAUAGACCACCAAAAGCAUUCAAAUCGUAUUGGCAUGUACGAUCGUAUUGUAUACGGAAAGGGAAACGUUUCCCUACGGUACGCCGGCCGAGCGAUUCGGCCGGUCGUGUGCGAGCCGGGGCGCGUGAAAUCGGAUCGUGCUGGAUCCUUUUAUGCAGGGGGUGCCACGACCACGGCCCACGUGGGCUGGCUGGCCCACGCCCGUGUCCCGCUAGCCUUAUCCUCUCACGCCGGUGUCUCUGCUUUCUCCGUCUCUCGAUCCCAUCUUUUCUUUUUGCUUCAUGACAACGGUGAGCCGCGGCGACCUCGGUGAUGUGCGACAGAGGCGAGGCGAUGUGCGAUGGGGGAGCCACCACGCAUCUGGUUGCAGCCGCAGCUCUGGCGAGCUCCGCCAUGGCCAUUGACGCCGCGUGCUGGAACCAACGCCCACCCAUGCUGGAACCAACCACCGUGGUUGCUGGAACCGGCAUCAAUUUUUGCUACAACCGCUGAGUUUUUUUUGCUGGAACCGGCAUCCCGUACAGACUCUUCUCGUCCACUCAUUCAUCCCCUUUCUCAUCCCCUACCUUCAGCGAGCGGCCAAAGCAAGCCCCCGAAGAAUCACCUCCGCUUCCUCCUGCAGAACCCUGCAUCUCCGGUGCCUUGCAACUCCGGUGACCCUCGACUGGACGGUGGCGGAGGCAUUGCAGAACCUGCUGCACGCGCUUAUGCUACAACCGUUAACCAAAAAGCUUCAAACGAGAUGAAAAAAGCUUCAACCAGAUAUAUGAAAAGCUGCAAGCAGUCAUUGCCAUGGCGGAAUGCUACAACCGUUGACAUAAAAUGCUACAACCCUUGAUGAAAAAAGUUUCAACCGAAACGAUAGAGAAAGCAUUAACUAAGACUGCUACAAAGAAAAAUAGCUGCAACCGUUGAUAGAAAAGUUUCGACCGUAGAUGAAAAAAGCUACAACCCUUGAAAGAGAAAGCUACAACCAUACACUGCAUAAUCAGAAAAGUUGCAUCCAUUGUAGAGAAAGCUUCAAUCGUACGUGCGAAAAGCUUCAACCGACGUGCGUUGCCACCGGAGCUGCAAUCACAGUUGAUGGCCUGGUAGCCAUAGUCGACGCAAUUUCGUGCAGCGAUGAGCAUCAACGGUGAGCCGCGGCGGCGGAGCUACAACCGGGGAGAGCUACAAGCGUCGCCGCUGCAACCUGCAACCGCAGAUGUAGUUGUUUCAUGCGUCGCGGCGACGAUGAGGACGAGCGGCGAGGGUCGGAAGCGGCGGCGAGGGUGGGGACCAUCAACGGGGAUGGUCGGCGAGGGUGUGGACCGGCAACAAGAACGGCUACCGGAAGGGAUAGAAGGCGCGGCGCCGCGCAGCCCGAGCGAGGGGAUCGAGCCCGAGGAAGAAGAAGCUGGGGCGAUUUUUUUUGCUCCAGAUCCAACUGAUGUGUGGCUCGCAUCAGGCGGCUAGGGCUGGACCGGCCGAAGUUUUCGGCCGGUGCGCCGGCGCCUAGCGGUGCCCAUACGGAAACUAUAAUCCCACUACUGGUUUUGGCACAAUUUGGAAAGGUAUUUGAAGGUAAAGCUCACAUAUUGAAAACCAAACUUAUUUCUCGCUUAUAGUAGACCUAGCAUGUUCUCCACGAGAGCUAUGUCUCACAUUAAGCUUAAGCAAGACUGAAGGUUAUCUCUCGUCGAGCGAGAAUAGUAUCGGGCCCGCACAAACUUUAAAACCAGGAAGAAAUGGGGGGCGCCGAGGGAUCAAUCCCUGGUCUCCCGGCUGACCACGCGUGCUGGUAGCCACUCGGCUCGCCAAUUGUUUUGUGAUUAGCUAAUUCGGUGCGGCAUAAUUUAGGCGAAACGAGCUGUUUUUUCACUGGGUUUUCCCAGGCUUUUCUAUUUUCCAUGCUUUUUCAUCGGUUUUCUUUCUUUCCCGGUUAUAUUGUUUUUAUUUGUUUAUUUUCUCAUUUGCAUUAGCUUUUUUUGCUUUUCUUUCUUUCUUCCAUUUUUAUUAAUUUCUUUCCUGGUGUUCAUCAGUUUUCAUUUGUUUUGCAUUUGUUCCUUCUUUUUUAUUUUAUUUUGUUUCUUCUUUUUUAAAAUUUUUUGUUCUCUUUUGUCUACAUUUUUGUAUAUGUCAACAACAUUUUACGAAUACACAUUUAACACUUUUCUAAAUAAAUUUAACUUUUUUAAUACAUGGACAACAUUUUUCUCUAAUACACAUUUUUAACAUUUUUAAAUGCUUGAUUACCAUUUUUCAAAUACAAGAAUAAAUUUUUUUGAAUACUUGGUCAACAUUUUUUCCUAUACACAGUUUUAACUCUUUUCAAAUGUUUGAUCAAUAAUUUUCCAAUAAAAAGAUUUGACUUUUUGGAAUACAUGUCAAAAAAAAAUAUACGCAUUUCAAUUUUUUAAAACACUAGAUUAACCUUAUUCAAAAUAUUGUUCAAUUUUUUUUCCAAAUGUUUGAUUAACAUUACUAUGUACAUGAUCAAAUUUUUUAAAAUAAAAUUUAGUACAUGGUCAACAUUUUUUCUAUACACAUUUAAUAAUUGUCAAAUCCUUGUCUAACAUUUUCCAAAUAAUUUUUCAAUUUAAAUAAUUUCAAAACUUAAAUCAAGCAUUUAAAAAUCUUAAAAGGUGCAUAUGAAAAAUAAUUGACCAUGUAUUUUAAAAAUAUUAAAAAUUUGAAAAAAAAUGUCGACCAUUUAUUAAAAAAAUUAACCAAGCAUUUGAAAAAUGGUAAAAUGUGUAUGCAGAACAUGUUUCACAUGUAUAUAAAAACAGGUAUACGAAAAAUAUAGUGUGUGUGAAUAAAGUUGACGAUGUAUUUAGAAAAUAUUAAUCAAACAUUUAAAAAAUAUUCAAUAAGCAUUUAAAAUUUUUAAUUAAGAAUUUUAAAAAUGUUAAAUGUGCAUAGAAAUCUACUUGACCAUGUAUUAAAAAAUAUUAAUCUUGUAUUUCUAAAUGGUAAUCAAGCAUUUAUAAAUGUUAAAUUGUGUAUAUAAAAAUUGUUGACCAGGUAUUCGAAUAUUUUAAUCUUGUAUUUGCAAAAUGUUAAUCACACAUUUAAAAAAGAUUAAAAUAUGAAUAGAAAAAAUGUUAACCAUGUAUUAAAAAAUGUUAAACUUAUAAUCAAAAAUUUCAAACACAUAUUAGAAAAUGAUCUUAACAUAUACAAAAUUUUAGAAUGAAAACAAAAUAAACAAAGAAAAAUUAGAAAACAAUAAAAACCAAAAAUAGAAAAUAAAAACAAAGAAAUCAAAGAAACAAGUGCAAAAAGAAAGAAAAAGAGUGAAAACGACAAAGAAUUAAAGAAACAUGUAAAACCGAAAACAAAAAAGACUGAAACAAAAGUAGGAAAAUGAGAUAGAAAAGAAAACACAAUAAAAACAAUGAAAGAAGAAAGUGAAAUCCAAGAAAAAUGGAAUAAAAAAUAUAAAAAUUGAAAUAUAACAACAACAAAAAAGAAAACCAAAGAAAAUCGGAGAAAAAAAUCAGAAAAUCGAAACAAAAAGAAAAGAAACAGAACAAAUGCAUGAGCGAACGACGACGAAGGAACGAAAUGAGUACACGUUAUUGGCCCGACCCUUUCGCUCACGCUGUGUAGGAAAAGCUUCAGUGAGGCGGAUGCUAGUCUCGCUACAAGUGAGGCAUAGCAAUCGCAUUUACAUGUAUGUUUUUGUUCGAUGAUAAACCCCUGCAAACCCGGCUGCAUAUAUGCCCUUUGGUCGGCCUGCUGGCCCAGUCAUCAUUUGCUUGUGCAGAAAAAAAAAUGUAAACAACAGAUUUGCCAUGCUGUAGGUAAAAAAUAGACAGUAUUAAAAAUAAAAAAUGUAAACUACUAAUCUUCCAUGUUAUAGAGCAUAAAAUCGCUGCAUAUUUGGAUAGAUAAUCAUAUAUAAACAUAAAAACAACAAAACAAUGUUGAAAAAAAAUUCUCAUGAAAAAUUAGAUAGUUGCUGUUCUCUAGAAAACAUUGCAAAUUUAUAAAAACAAUGUAGUGCACACAUGUCAAAUUCUAUGUUGCAAAAAAAGGUUUAUCUUGUGAGGAAGGCAAAAAUUUGUCAUCUCAAUAAAUUUGAUAGCAUAUAAAGAAAGAAUUUUCCAUUGUAUGUUAAAAUAAUUUUCCAUGGUAUAAAGACGAGAAAAAUUGUCAUGUGUGAAUAAAUAAUAAAUUACCAUGCUACCUACAAUAAAAUUGCCAUGGUGUAAUUAAUGAAAUUGCCAUGUUCUAAAUAAUAAAAUUUCCAAAAAAACUACCAUGCUCAAAUUAAUAAAUUUGCUAUGGUCUAAAUAUUAGAACUGCGAUGCCAAAUUUAUGAAGUCCGCUCUCUAAAAAUACAUAGCAAGUUACGGGAAUUUGUAAUGGGCACAUAGCAAAGUUAGGAAUUGUGUACUUCAAAAAAAAGAUGUCAAAUUUUAGGAAUUUUCUACGGAUGCAUGGCAAAUUUAGGUAUAUAGUUCUCAAAAAACAUGGCAAUUUUGUGAAUUGAAAAUUUUGCUAUGGUUGAAAAAAAAAUUGCCAUGGUCCAAAAAUCAUGGCAAAUUACCUCCAUAGAUCAUGCUAAAUGGGGAUAAUUUUUUUUUACUUGUAUCAGGACAAGACAUAUCAUGGCAAAUGUACUACCCCAUUAUCAAAGGCAAACUUGUAUUGGCUAGGUUUGAUUACAAUCAUGGUAUUAGCUGAAAGAAAUAAUUUAGCAUGUAGUCAUUAAAAAAUGUUUUACAAUUUGACAUGCGUCUUGAAAAAACAAAAAAAACAGUUUAUAUAUUUCCAUCAAAAUCAUUGCAAAAAAUUCCAUGUACUAGAGGACACAAUUACGCUAAAAUUGCCAUGUAUGUGUGCACGCGCGCACACAAUCUUAUCAUUGUCCUUCCAACUACUAGUACAAUGCCCGUACGUUGCCACAGGCUAGAAUGCAUAUAAAUAAAUCGAAUAAAUGAUUAAAUCCGUCCUAAGGUCGAAAAUCAUUUACUCCUCAUAUGUUCGUGUGUGUUCGGAUAAACUUGUGCCCAGCUGGCUCCUCAAAAUUCAACCGUCUGUACAAUCCGCGCUCCCCCAAAUCCAGCCCAUAUGUGUGUGUGGGGGAGGGGGUGUCCGGACUAUCCACCAUGUUAUCUCCAACAUGUGGUCCUAACACAGAACCCUUCCAUUUUCUGUCGGACCCUCCCUUUCGUGCUCGGUUUCCCGUCAUAGCGGGACAAUUCUCGCUUGAGCCCUCUACCUUUAAAACGAUGUUACGUACCUCACAUUUGCCAUGGCACCCUCACUUCUUCACGUCGCACUUCCCCACGAAUCAUCCAGGAGGAGUCUUCUACCAACCACCCCUCUAUCCGCUCUAAUCCCUUCCAUCCGUAUUCGUGUCGACCCGGCACCGCCAUCAAGGGGGCCGAAGCGUCCAUCACUCGUGACCCCUUCGAGCCAAGAAGACACAUCCGAUGUCUCCUGAGCCAUUGUCACGUUGUAACAUGAAGUUGAAUGCCGUCCAUGACCACGAAACAAAAAUAUAAUGUCCAUUGUCAGGCAUGGAACUGAUACACCGGUGUGUCCAUUAUUGACUCUUGAAGUAACCUUCCAAUGAAUUUAACCUUCUACUCUAAACAAAAAAUUAUAUGACUUGAUGGAAAAAAGAAAAGAACCGCUCGCUCAUGCAAUUUGCUGCAAAGCCAUCUUUAAUGAAAUGCUAUUUGCUACAUUUUUAAAUAGGAAAAUUAUUUCGAUCAGCCAGCCAUAACUCAACAGACCAAUCUCUAAUGAAAUGCUAUUUGCUACAUUUUUUAAACAGAAAAAGUAUUCCGAUCAGCCAGCCAUAACUCAACAGACCAAUCCGAACCCAUAUUUUCUAAAGUAAAGAAAUUAUUUCCCUUGAUCGAUCAAGAUGCCAAAGUGUCGUUUGCCCGACUGUUAUGUUCCUACACACGCAGAGCGAAUUAUUUUUCAAAUCAAGGAAUUAAGAAAAGGAAGAAUAUCAUGAUGUUCGUGGCACUUGCCAGGUCUGCCAUGCUACCAUGACAUUGUCUUUUUAGUCUCUACCCACAUGCCGAGUUGAGAAAUAAUCUUCAGAUAUACCCACUGCUAACACACUCACGUACAUAAUGGCCCUUGGCUGAUUGAUUUGGCUGGCUGUUAACACAAGCACACAACACACAAAAUCAGUCAAUGGCCACACGUAUGCAUUGUUUACUUUAUUCCAAUUGUGAUGCAAUCGUGACACCUACUCGCCCCGUCUGCUCGCCCGUCACGGUAAUUGCCUACUCGCCGCUGGUGCCAACCGCUCGACCUUGCCACCGCCGCUCACCACUCAGUCUCCACCGGCUGCCCAUUGCCUCUUGCGCCACCCGCGCGCUCACUCGGCCCAAUGUUGUUGUUUGGAAUGCGGGACUCAAGGUAAUCCAUGGAUAGGUUUUAGUUCUGCUUGGCAUCAAUCUUUGGUACUUGUUAAUCCAUCUAACGCACAACAAAAUCGACUCUCAGACAGAAAAGUGAUCUAACUCAUUUGUCAAGUACCCUGCUCUAAAAACUCUGUGACAAAUGAUAGUAGAAGUAAAAAUGGUAAGAAGCCCUCAGCUCAAACUAUAACAUAGCUAAAAUUAAUUAAUUUAACAAUUGUGCUUCAAUAGUUGGAACACUGCAGUUUUCUUUAUAUGGACUUAUACUAAAGACAAUUUAGGCAUGGAAGAGAAAAACAUCACCUCCAAUCAUUAACAUCCCAAUAUUCUGACGUAGAUUUGGCACUGACUUCUCUAGAUGAACAAUGAUCCCAAUGUCCCUCUUACUGGAUAGCAAGUCCAAUGUCAACGGUAAUACACAAUAGGGAGCGACAUCUCAAAUCUUGUGGUCCAUAGCAAUUAGAGUCCUUCUCAAGAACUUAUCCUGCUUCGAUAACCACAUAUGAACCAACCAUAGAAGCGUGAAAAGUGAAUGCAUUAUUGGUGCAUAUAGAUGACUACAUAUCACAUUCUCUUGCCAUCUCUCAAACUUAACAGUCACAUCUCGUUACUUCUGAUUCCACGCUGUUCUCUCUCAAAUUAAUUAGUGAUUGCAUCACAACACAACGGAUUAUCUUGAUCAACUCCUAACAGGAUUCCAGUCAGCAUUGAAAUCUACAGGAAGACCAUGGAUCAGUAAUCUGAGAAAGGAAAGUCAUGACAGAAAUAAUCAAGAUGCUAUAAUCACUUGAUAUAUAAGCGUGCUGAUUACAUAGUAGUGUAAAAACAAAUGAUUGGAACAAUACAAACAGAACUGAAAAUUUCCUGUUAAGUGAGGAAAUCAGAACUAUUGUUCAGCUUACUAAAAAUCAUGCUUCAUUUAACAACAUAAGAGCUCAAACUAAGUUCACGUGGCUUCUGUUCAAGAAAGAGUUCAGUAGUAUAGUGAUCAUGAAUUGUUCAGCACAAGAAAAAGAAGUGCAUGGCGGUUUUGUAGGGAACGCGCCAGAAAACAAAAAAAUUCCGACCUACGCACCAGCCCAGGACCACUAUCGAGACUGCAUACAUGGUUUGAUCUUUUUCAUUACCGACUCGUAGCACAGCGGGAAGUAGAGUCGAUGAUGAUCGGAGGUGCAGAUCCCCGCAGCUAGGAUUUACAACCUCCCAACCGCGAGGAUGUAUACCCUCAUCUGCUCCUCAGACAGCCCUCCGGGAGGCGGUCGAACAGCCCCCCGGACGGUGUCGCAGACAGCCCUUCGGGAGGACCUUCGAAACUCUAAUGGUCACUCGGAUAGCCCUUCGGGAGGACCUUCAAAACUCGGACGGUCACACGGACAGCCCUUCGGGAGGCACUCACGAACUAAGACCGAAACUAUGAUCUCUCUACAGAGUUGCACACAUACGGUGUCAUCUAUCCGGCAGGCCUUCGCCGUCCAGAACUAGUUCCUGCCGGAACCCAGACAGCCUUACGGCUCUACGAAACUCUUUUCGUGGGAGGGAGAGAAGAAGCCAGAUAAUGCAUGGCAUGUGUAUGAGAGCAAGGGAUGAUUCUUUAGGAAGCCCCCUCCACCCCUAUUUAUAGGCCAAGCCCAAGGGUGGCUUCUCCAAGAAGCCAAGGGGGAAAUACCAAAAAGGCCCUCAAGGUGGCUUCUCCAAGAAGCCAAGCAAAAAGCACUUUCACUAUUCAUGACGACAUUUUUUAGCGUCCGUUCGAACUGAAAAUAUUUAUGUGGGCUCAGAACAUUUCCAGUACCCACUAAAAUAAUUUUCAACGCGUUCCGAAACAAUUUCGGUUUAGUGAUUUUCAUCUGCGAAAAGCAAACAAGAAUGCGUUUUCACUAUUCAUGAAGACAAUUUUUCGCGUCCAUUAAAUCCGAAAAUAUUUCUGUGGGUCUUAGAAUAAUUCCAGUACCCACUAAAAUGAUUUUGGAUUCGUUCUGAAACAAUUUCAGAUUAGUGAAUUUCAUCUACGAAAAACAACCAAAGCGGUACCGGCAGCUCCGAAACAUUUUCGGUUUUUAUUUCUGAAAAUUCCAAAAAGUUUCUAGAAUGAUUCUGACACCCUCCAAGAAUUAUCAGGCAUGUGCCGAAACCAUUUUGACUUAAUGGCAUACCCCGAAACAACUUUUUCGGUUUCACCAGAACUCAUCCGGUGACCUCUCUUUUCAGAACUUUUUUGAUGUCUCGAAAAACCUUUUCCGAAAACUUUCUCUCAGACUCCCUGUCUAGUAUUCAGCAGAUAGAUGACCCUUAAGCGUGUGACCCUAUAGGUUCGGUGAAGUAUAGACAUGACCUGGAACCUCUUCCGAUCAAUGAUCAACAUCGGAGCCGUGGACACCCAUAUUGACCCCUAUACCCACACGAAUGAAUAUUCGAGUGAACCUCUAGUUGCCGUGAGCUAUUCCUAUUGCUUCACGAUAUGUCACAAACACCUGAGGUGAGAUUUAUUGCAUUCCUGUGGAUCAACAAUUUGUCCACCAGUUACCUCGUUACCGGUUUUGUUAUCUUUUCUCGUUUCCGUGUUCCGGCAUCCCAGUGAUCAAAUCACACUGUGUCUGGCCAGACGAUGAUGGAUACCGUAACACCGAGAGGCCCCGAGUAUAUCUCUCCAUCAUCGGAGGAGCAAAUCCCAAUCUUGAGCUAUCAAGUUACUUGACAUACUUUUCCAUGAACCUGUAAGCCGCCGUAAUAGCCAACCAUUUACGGAUGACGUUUAACAAACCCCAAAGUUCAUGAAGCAAGCAUGAAGAAACUCGAUACUCUCAUGGUCUAAGGAAUCAUGCAAACAUUAACCAUCUCUGUGUUAUGUACCAUUGACUUGUGACAAAUGAAUCUCAUAGCAUAACAUCAAUCCGGGUCGAUUCAACCCAAAUGUUCUCUUAACAUUGUGCCCUCCAAGUUGCUGGCAUUGACAUGCCCAUGAUCAGGAAAACUGAACCAUCAUGCAACACUUGAGCUAGUCUUAGAGGCCAGACUAAGAAUACUUCUUACCGUUUAUUAUUCCACACGUGCAUAUGAGUCUUCCUCCGAGCCUCGUGUUAUUGCAGACUCGAGAACCAUAGCAGUUAUAGCAUGGAACAUAAACAUAAUUAUGAACUUGGAGAUAAUAUCAUUUAUUAUUGGCUCUAGGGCAUAUCUCCUACAGACUCCCACUUGCACUAGAGUCAAUAUCUAGUCAAUGCUAAUGCACUUUACACCUAUGGCAUACUGGUGUAGAAAAUGCUUCGCUUGUGGUAUAGCCUGAUGUCCAACGGAUCUGGCGACUUCAGCUCUGUGUGUAUCAUUGCAUAUCCUCACGUUUUCAUGCUUUCACAAAAUUCAUAUUUUGUGUGGACUUGGCUUUUAUGUAUGUGAAUCACAGGUCGAACCUGGAUUCCUCAGACUGAGUUAUGGAGAAACUACCUGCAGUAGUGUCCCAUUGACAAAAGCCAUCUUGGAACCAUACUAAGUUCAUGAAUGAACUAUAUGAUUCAACAUCUUGUUUGUCGCUUCUAAAGCGUCAACAUACUUAGUCAUUUGUUAUAGAAUUCGCCACAGUAUCCUGUUGGGAACAAUUUCCAACUACCGUGCCACCAUAUUGUGUAUUACACAAAACCCUUAACUUAAAUCAAAAAUCGCAUGGAGAAAAGAUGAAGACUAUAUCGAUAUAACAUUUUACAACGAACUCUUCAUGAUCUCCGCUUGCGAGAAAACAUAUCAUCAGUACUUACUCUAGUACUCAAUGACAUCUUUCACUGUUGUCCCACGAUCAGUACUUUGAUCACUUUAGUAUCCAUACUCGCAACCGCUUGGGAGUAUUGGACAUAUCUGGUUGUUUUACAUACCAUGGAAUACAUGAUUAAUCCAAACACAUGAGUGUGUGGAAUCCCCAUCAUGUAUUUUGCUCAUCAAUGUUUUGGGACACUGAUUCUUGCAAAAACUCUUUCCAUGUGACUUCGGCAAGAAUCACUCCUUGUCGUUCUUAGUGCUAAACGGUUUUAGCAUCUUGUCAAUAUGUAUUUUUGCUCAGCCCCAUUAGGUAAAUCUAUCUCCAUAGAUCAUUAUGCCUAAUAUUGAGGCUAUUUAGCCUAAGCACUUCAUCAAAAAACUAUUUUCAAAUGAAGUCCUAAUUCGUGUCAAGAAAUUUAUUUCCAAUUAACAAUGUGUCAAGCACACAAGGUUUUUAGAAAUAUUAUUACGCUCCCACUUACUUUCUUGAAUUACAAGCAUCUUCGUUACCCAUUGAUGAAGUCAAACCCCUUUGACCAUUUCACCAAAGCACGAAGAUUCCAACUCCAUUUUGCUCUCUUCUGUCCAUCGCUGGAACUCUAAAGUUUGCACCCUUACUAGCAUCCUCUGGAUAGACAAAAUGCCUUGGACUGUAACACAUGCAAGUCCUUGGUUUCAUUUCCAUCAGAUGGAAAUCCUAUUGUCAUCCAUGUUUCAUAUCUCAUGAUUGAAAUAUGUAUUAAUUGCUAGUUCAACCCGAACCGACUUUAAGCAUCGCUACGAUGAAAACAACCUCAUCGUAGUCAACUCUUGAACUUGUUAUUUCAACAAGUCGAGCUUUAUGGAUAAAACAUUUUUAUCCGUAUCAGUUUUAAGUUCCAUAAAUAUUCAUUAGACUCUAAGUCUUCUGAAUGGUGUAUCAAGGUUUUAAUCUUGAAUCACUUAUAUGGAAACUAACUCGGGUUGUAUUAGCAUUUAGCCAAUUCCGGAGUCAGGGCCCAUCAACGCUUCCUUGUGUAUCGUAGGUAUAAUGUUGUCUAACAACAAUAUCUCGUUUGCGCACCUGAGAGGUUUGCAUGAGCCUUGCCUACGUGGUUCAGCUGCAAGUUCGACCGAAGUUCAUACAUUUUAUUGUAGAGACUUCCGUAUCAGUCGCAGUAGGAAACCCUGGAAUUACUUCCACGGCCUCUUUCCUUUGAUCUGAUGACGAAGAUACUGUUUAUCUCGUCGAGUUGCACUAUUCUCCCACUCACCUUUUUGAAAGAACCAUUCUCUUUAAAAGCACACCGUUUCGCGGCAAAACUAUUUGCCUCGGUAUAGUGAGGGGGGAAUACCCAAUGACUUGGGAUAACUUACAAAGUAGCACUUGUCUGAUUUGGAAUAGGUUUGUAACCUUUUACACAAGCCCCAUAUUCCAAAUGUUAAGAAAAGAUAUAACAUGGUUGGGCGUACCAUACCAUGCCGUCAUUUCAACAGACCUGAUGGAGCUCUUUUCAGUGUAAAAGCCGCAGUCUCUAAAGCAUUACUCUUCAAAAGUGAUAAUGGCAAAUUUAUUUAUGUCAUCUUUGAUCUUACCAUGUCAUAAAUGGUUUGAUUACAUCUUCACAGACAUUCCAUUCAUAGUGGUGUUCCGGGAGUUGUAAGUUAUGAAACUCUUUUCACAACUCAUCAGACAUUCGCUAAACUUGUAACUCAAAUAUUCUUUUCUGCAAUAAAAUUGCAGAAAAAUAAUUUCCUUGUUACAAUAACUUCUACUUCAUUUUUGAAAACCUUUCAGAUGAUUUCAAAAGAUCCAGACUUACGUCUCAUCAAGCAAAUAUCCAUAUAUCUACUUGAGUCAUUUCUGAAGAUAUAUAAAUCCACUACUUGCAACAACAUUUAUUGAACUACACACAUCAAAAUCUAUGAUCACCAAUAAGUUUGUUGCUCGUUCCUUAUGGCCUGUGAAUGGUAUUUCAGUCACAUGAUUUUUCGGAGGAAAGUUGCAACUGUCAGAUGAUUCAAAAUCAAACGACUUCAAAAUCCAUCAUAAUGGAAUUUUUUUCAUGCGGGUUUCUCCAAUGUGACCAAAUGCAAUGCCACACAUGUGUGGUAUUCUCAUAGUCUUGCGACAUUUAGCGUCAGCGUUAUGGAUGUAUCAUUUUACCAUCAAUAUUCAUAACAUACAUCCCAUCUUGGAUGGAAGCAUGACCCUUCAUGUUAUUCAUAAUACUGAACAACAAUUAUUCUUUUAUGAACAACCGUUUUGCAAUAAACAUUGUGCAAUGGGCUAGAGUGUAAGAAACUCUAAAAUGAAUUAUGAAAGUAAACACAGAGGUAAUAUAUUAAUAUCAUUAUUCAUAACAUACAUCUCAUUCACAAUGAAAGUAUGGCCCUUAUGUUUAUUCAUAAUACUGAACAACAAUUGUUCUUUUAUGAACAACCUUCUUGCAAGAUACCUUGUGCAAAGGGCUAGAGUGUAAGAAACUCUAAAAUGAAUUAUGAAAGUAAAUACGUAGGUAAUACACCGAUGGAAGGUAUAGUAACUUUUACUAUGUUCCCAACACGUAUUAAAACCUCAUUCCUGGCUAGUCUUUUUAGGCCAUAGUAGCUCUUAUAUUGAUUCGCAACAGAAUGCAAUCGAGCGGGUAUCUUUGUGAUUAUUCUCACAAUACCCAAGAAUUAGUGAUUAACAUGUUUAACCAUAAUUCCCAAGAACUAUAUCUUUGACCAGCCUACUAUACAUCAAAAACUUGUAUGACAUUCAUACAUGAGCUGGAUAUUCCAGUCAUCUUUCUUUCUGCCUUUAUACUUGUAACAGUUUAACUUUUAGUAUUUCUCCUACUCGCAAAAGAAGCACCCAACUUAAGAGUGGCGUUAGCCCCGGACUUCCUAGGCGUGUAAGUCAUACUAACACCCUUUGGACACUUCCUUUCUCUUUAAGUUGUUGUUUUAUUCACCUUUCAUUAUAUGACAGGCGUUCUUCUGGAUCCCUUUCCCAACAGUCAAAUGCAUAGUAAACACUUUUACUAAUACUUGCAAAGAAACAUUGCUUUGUUUGUAUCUGAAAAUAAUUUUCAGUUCCAUGAAUAUCAUAUAACUAUCCCAACUUUCGAAGUUUGGGUUUCAUGGAAGCAAACAUAUUCCACUUGACCGUAACAGAAUUCUAGCUUUUGGAUCGAAGGACGAGAGUCACAUGAUCCAUAGCAUUAGCGGGAGGAUACGGAAAGCAUGCGAUAGGACAAAGUCCUUCUCGGCACUUUUGAGGACAAUCAUCACAUUACGUUACCAAUCGUAAAGUUUUAACCAGAUAUUCAACAGCUAUUCAAUUUUAACAGGGAAAGUGGAAUCGCGAGCCAUUAUUCUACAACUAUUUUGCAAGAAACACUUAGACAGUGUUCAUAAUUAAUUGCACUGAGAAUUAAACAUGUUAAUUCAAGAGUGCGCUCCCACUCAAAUCAAUAUCUCUCAAAAUUGAUUAUGAGUGACACAAGAUCCAGACUUCAAUUCAUCGCCAUAGAAUCAUCAUCUCAUAACGGGAAUUUUAAUUGGUAGGCCAACUUGCCGAUCACAUCUCUAUGUGACUCUUGCUCAUCUUUCGAUGCGUGUGUUCUGAGCUCACGACGAUCCUGCCAUGAACGUCGAGACAACCAAGUGAUCUUGCUGCGAGGUCUGACCUCACCCGCCUCACACUUCUCUAAUCGUUCGUACUCAUGCAUCCAUGGCGCACCCCGAAAAGAUAGGUGCCGUGAUGGUGCUACACUUGGGAGAACACUAACUACUUGAUAUUUUAGUGAGAGAUCACCCUAAUAAAAAGCGACUACCGCACAAUCAAAAAGGGUGCAUCAAAGGGAUAAACAUCUCAGGCAAUUCAUAAUAGCAUGAUAUGGUAUAGUCCUUUAUGACGGAGAAGUCUUUCAUUCCUUCGUCUUCGGCAUUCGCGUCGGUGUUCACCUUCACGAAGAUUGCCACCACCUUGUUGAUGCACCAGAUAAUAUUGCUAUCUCUAUAGCUAAUAAAAUAAGUGCAUUACUUAAGGUUGACACGCAGGUCAUUAAAGUGACAAUCAUAUGGCUCCAGCCAUCAUGCCGAAUCAUGACACGCAGGUCAUGUUAAUUACAUCAUGUAGUCAUCUCAUACAUAAUCAAAUUGAAUAUGAGCAUUGCUAUACCACAUCACAUGCACAUCCUGCAAAACCAAGUUAGACGACUCUAAUCGGUUUAUGCAAAUUUUUAUUUUACGUGGCUUCUAAGGUUUUGACUUAAACCACAGCUACCAACGUUCUAUCAUCAAGUAUGAUUAAUCAAGUUGCUAGAUUAACAUCUCGGGGUGUAUGAAACAUGAGAUAAUUAAAUCUCGAGCCCCAUACUAAACUUCGUCAUACGCAUGACCCCCGUGCAGAUCAUAUCUGCAAUGCCCUUUCAUCUGCGAAUUUCAUCUUUCUUUUGACUACGGCAGAACCCAAAGAACUGAUAGCACUUCCAUGAUCAAUCAGGAUCACGGAUUGCCAGAAGUUUGUCAAAUUCCACCAUGUUGUCUCGAUAUUGAGCAAACGCAAAUUCUAGGGAAGCAACAAGAACGUCGGGUAAUAGAUUUCAUCUGUCACCCGCAUAAAUAAUUUUCAGCAAUAGAUCUCAUCUACUACCUAAUUAUAUUAUGCAAUACCCAUACAUCUCCAUGUAUUGUAGAUCAAAACCUACAUCUACGCAUAGCACGGCUCUUGAUGCCAAUGUAGGGUAACGCGACAGAAAACAAAAAAUUUCCGACCUACGCACUAGGCCAGGACCACUAUCGAGACUGCAUACAUGGUUUGAUCUUUUUCAUUACCGACUCGUAGCGCGGCGGGAAGUAGAGUCGAUGAUGAUCAGCGGUGCAGAUCCCCGCAUCUAGGAUUUACAACCUCCCAACCGCGAGGAUGUAUACCCUCAUCUGCUCCUCAGACAACCCUCCGGGAGGCGGUCGAACAGCCCCCCGGACGGUGUCGCGGACAGCCCUUCGGGAGGACCUUCGAAACUCGAAUGGUCACUCGGACAUCCCUUCGGGAGGACCUUUGAAACUCGGACGGUCACACGGACAGCCCUUCGGGAGGCACUCACGAACUAAGACCGAAACUACGAUCUCUCUACAGAGUUGCACACAUACGGUGUCAUCUAUCCGGCAGGGCUUCACCAUCCAGAACUAGUUCCUGCCGGAACCCAGACAGCCUUACGGCUCUACGAAACUCUUUUCGUGGGAGGGAGAGAAGAAGCCACAUAAUGCAUGGCAUGUGUAUGAGAGCAAGGGAUGAUUCUUUAGGCAGCCCCCUCCACCCCUAUUUAUAGGCCAAGCCCAAGGGUGGCUUCUCCAAGAAGCCAAGGGGGGAAAUAUCAAAAAGGCCCUCAAGGUGGCUUCUCCGAGAAGCCAAGCAAAAAACACUUUCACUAUUCAUGACGACAUUUUUCAGCGUCCGUUCGAACUGAAAAUAUUUAUGUGGGCUCAGAACAUUUCCAGUACCCACUAAAAUAAUUUUCAACGUGUUCUGAAACAAUUUCGGUUUAGUGAUUUUCAUCUGCGAAAAGCAAACAAGAAUGCGUUUUCACUAUUCAUGAAGACAAUUUUUCGCGUUCAUUAAAUCCGAAAAUAUUUAUGUGGGUCUUAGAAUAAUUCCAGUACCCACUAAAAUGAUUUUGGAUUCAUUCUGAAACAAUUUCAGAUUAGUGAAUUUCAUCUGCGAAAAACAACCAAAGCGGUACCGGCAGCUCCGAAACAAUUUCGGUUUUUAUUUCUGAAAAUUCCAAAAAGUUUCCAGAAUGAUUCUGGCACCCUCCAAGAAUUAUCAGGCAUGUGCCGAAACCAUUUUGACUUAAUGGCAUACCCCGAAACAACUUUUUCGGUUUCACCAGAACUCAUCCGGUGACCUCUCAUUUCAGAACUUUUCUGAUGUCUCGGAAAACCUUUUCCAAAAACUUUCUCUCAGACUCCCUGUCUAGUAUUCAGCAGAUAGAUGACCCUUAAGCGUGUGACCCUAUAGGUUCGGUGAAGUAUAGACAUGACCUGGAACCUCUUCCGAUCAAUGAUCAACAUCGGAGCCGUGGACACCCAUAUUGACCCCUAUACCCACACGAAUGAAUAUUCGAGUGAACCUCCAGUUGCCGUGGGCUAUUCCUGUUGCUUCGCGAUAUGUCACAAACACCCGAGGUGAGAUUUAUUGCAUUCCUGUGGAUCAACAAUUUGUCCACCAUGCAAGUUACCUCGUUACCGGUUUUGUUCUCUUUUCUCGUUUCCGUGUUCCGGCAUCCCAGUGAUCAAAUCACACUAUGUCUGGCCAGAUGAUGAUGGAUACCGUAACUCCACGAGGCCCCGAGUAUAUCUCUCCAUCAUCGGAGGAGAAUAUCCCAAUCUUGAGCUAUCAAGUUACUUGACAUACUUUUCCAUGAACCCGUAAGCCGCCGUAAUAGCCACCCAUUUAUGGAUGACCUUUAACAAAUCCCAAAGUUCAAGAAGCAAGCAUGGAGAAACUCGAUACUCUCAUGGUCUAAGGAAUCAUGCAAACGUUAACCAUCUCUGUGUUAUGUACCAUUAACUAGUGACGAAUGAAUCUCAUAGCAUAACAUCAAUCCGGGUCGAUUCAACACAAAUGUUCUCUUAACAUUGUGCCCUCAAAGUUGCUGGCAUUGACAUGCCCAUGAUCAGGAAAACAGAACCAUCAUGCAACACUUGAGCUAGUCUUAGAGGACAGACUAAGAAUACUUCUUACCGUUUAUUAUUCCACACGUGCAUAUGAGUCUUCCUCCGAGCCUCGUGUUAUUGCAGACUCGAGAACCAUAGGAGUUAUAGCAUGGAACAUAAACAUAAUUAUGAACUUGGAGAUAAUAUCAUUUAUUAUUGGCUCUAGGGCAUAUCUCCUACAGGUUUUACCAGACAACACGGCACAACCGCACAACCGCACACACAUGCUGAUCAGCAGCAGCAAGCACACAUCGUCAUAGCGAUACACAGCGGCAGGGGCAUACCACGCACACAUGCGCAGCAGCAACAGCCACAUGCACACAUCAGCAAGCAAUAGUGCAUGCCAGCGGAUAUAAAAAUCUCAAUGGCGGCCCGUCUCCCUCAAACCUCCUCGGCAACCCCACUGAACUUGUCACCUCAUGCCCCUCCUGUCUCUCUCACUCUCCCUUUCAUCCAACAACGCCCUGCCUUCCAGCCAUCGUUCUCGUCUUUCUCGGAUUGAUACAAAAAAAUAGGGUAAAUAAUUGGAUGCUUACUUAGCAUGUUGUAGCAACCUUGUAAGUGACUCAAUGGGACAAGCACACGAAACAUUUCAAAACAUGCAGUGAAGAGCUGCCAACUGUAGUAAUUUUCUUAAUGUAUGUACUAUUAGUUGGCAAAGGAAAUUGAUUGUGUGCCACCAAAUGAAUGCACAUCAUCUCGUCCGCUUAUUCUGGAUGGCUAGAGAUAUGCAAUCCUUUUGCCGGCCAAUUGACAAUAAUGGCUGAAGCAAGUUUAUACAGAUACAUAGCAAUGGACAUCAAAAAAUGAUAUAAGGAACUAAAGCUAAGAGUACCCCCUAUUUCUUCAGUUUCGGCAGAUUCCUCAUCUUCAGCAUCUUGACCAUAUUUGUCAAGUCGUCAUCAGGCCUAAGCCUGGCUCUGUUGUUGGCUUGGCUGCUGCAUGCCACAACCAUUAUAUAGAUUAGAGCAAACAGAAGCAGGCCCUAAUUAGUCCAGAGAAAAAAAUUAGAGGUAACACAUACCAGAAGUCCAGCCACAACCACAACCAGAGAUAACAUAUCAUGGCAAGCGGAUAUCAAAAGAACAUGAUCCACAGCCAGAGGCUCGGGAUAGACCAAAUGCAACGACCGUUAACAAAUCCAAAUUCAGUGUUAACAACAACCACUUAUAUAUAUUUGGACGUACAUAGAAAUUAGAUAUUUCCUAAUUGUUUGCAUAACAAAAAACAUACUGGCUGCAAGAGAAUGAAAGACUAACCUAUUGAUGAGCACAACAGUACAUACCAUCCCAUCAUGAUGGUGCCAUCUCUCACACUUGAUGAUUGCAUCUUGUUAUUUCUAACAUAUACACCAUCGGGCGAUUGCUUUAUUAGAAAUAUAUUUACACAAUAUCAUCAGAGCAACAUCAAGGAGUCGGAUGCUGGUGCACAGAUUCUCCUCAAAUUCCACAUGCAACCCUUGUAGAGAAGAACGACAUAUUUUUCUUAGGUGAUUUUUGAUCGAGCUCCUACAGAAAAAUUCAAAGAAAUCAUGAGGAGCAUGGAGCCAAGCAAACUAAUCAGAGUAAAUCAUGAGAGGAGAAGCGAUUGCACUGCAGGCUAUGCGUUACUGAAACCGAGCGAUCGAUCGAUGGCUGUUAACUGAACCCGAUCGAGCGAUUCCUUCGCUACUGCUCCUAACUGAAGCCGAUCGAUGCUGCCUCUGGAUGAACAGUGAGCAUUGCUGGGGGGGGUUUGGAUGAACAGUUCCCGGUGGGGGUGGAUGAACAGGACCCCGAUCGAUCGAGCCGGUUGGGGCUGGAUGAACAGGACCCCGAGGAGGGGUGGAUGAACAGGACCACCCCGUGGAGGGCUGGAUGAACAGUAGACGGUGGAGGGCUGGAUGAACAGUAGCCCGUGGAGAGGGCUGGUUGAACAGUAGCCGGUGGAGUAGCGCGCGAUGGAGGCUGGAUGAACAGGAGCCCGUGGAUGAACAGUCGCAGGUGGAGGCUGGAGGAGGUCGACGGUGGAUGAACAGUAGCCCGUGGAGGCUGGAGGGGGUCGACGCUGGAGAUGAACAGUAUCCCGUGGAGUCCCGUUUUGCGGUACGCCACACCCCUCCCGUUGAACAGGACCCCCGUUUCGACCGUAGCGCUCCAACACAAGUCGGUUUCCUCCGUUUUGCGGUACGCCACACCCCUCCCGAUCAAUAGGACCCCCGUUUCGACCGUAGCGCUCCAACACAAGUCCGUUUCCUCCGUUUUGCGGUACGCCACACCCCUCCCGAUCAACAGGACCCCGUUUCGACCGUAGGAGGUCCAACACAAGUCCGUUUCCUCUGUUUUGCGGUACGCCAGGCCUCGUUUCCAUCGGCUGUUCUGUCCAAGCCGGUUGGCUCCCACGCAUUCCGUUGCCUCCCGAUGAAUACGACGCAUUCCGUUGCCUCCCCAUGAACACGAGACGACACAGUUUCUCCGUUCCAACCCAGCCAUGUACACGAGCCCUGGCCGUACGUAUGCGCGAGUAGGCGUUCGAGACCCCGCCCGUUUGUACGUACGUGGCCAUAUUUUCUUUCUUGCACACUGGCCGCUGUACGUAUGUGUACAGGCUACGUGCGCGCCUCUACUACGACACGUGUGCGCCUCUACAUCGACCAGUAUGUACGUACACGUUCGCGACCAGAAUGACAACGCUACGUACGCUUCGACCAGGUGGGUCCCAACUGUCAGGCACUUCCUUGCGUGCAAAGAUGUAGCUGGUGGGUCCCAGCAGUCAGGGGGUGAAUCGUUUUUUUUUUGCCCGGACGCACUUCCUUGCGUGCGAAGAUGUAGCUGGUAGGUCCCAGCAGUCAGGGGGGAAACGUUUUUUUUGUGAAAUACGGUUGCCCGUCUGAUGGGUCCCUGUUGUCAGGUGGAGGAAUCAUUAUUUUCCGCCUAAUAAGGAGGCACUUCCUUACUGCGGCCGUGGACCCAGCUGUCAGCCUCUCCACGUACAGUCCACGUCCAAUGGAAGCCGUUCCUUGACCACGUUGACCACGCCGCGCCGAGAGCACCAGGGCGGUGGACAACGGCGAGGCCUAGGAAGGGGACGACGCGGAGCCAGGGAAGACGCGGCGGUGGAUGCCCACACGUAGAGGAGUAUGAGGGUUCACUGGUUCGCUGCGGUGUGAGGCUACGGUCGCCGCAGAAUAACAGGGGGUGUGGGUGAGUAGAGGGAUGGCCUGGCCAGCGGUGGGAGUAGUAGGGGGCGAUGAGGCCUCCGCGGCAUCGCAGCCGGCCACGGGAGGCAGGAGCACGAGGCAUGACCGGCGCUGAUUUGGGCGCUGGAGCAAGAAGACCAGAGGUUGAAGAAGCACUACGGCCAUUGGAUGGACAUCGUACGGUCACUAGAGCUAGAAUCGUGCAUAUUGACUAAGUUGACAAAGCCCUCCGUCCCCGUCAACUUAGUAGGCCCACAAGUCGGCCUCCCACUAUACUGGGUCCCAGCUAGCAGGGGGAGUAUUCAUUUUUUGUGCAUAAUAAGGAGGCACUUCCUUGCGUGCGAAGAUAUAGCUGGUGGGUCAGAGCUGUUAGCGCCGGUAACGUUUUUUCGCGAAAUACAGAGGCCCUUUCGGUGGGUCCCAGAUGUCAGGUGGAGGAAUCAUUAUUUUGCGCGUAAUAACGAGGCAUUUCCUUGCGUGCGGCCGUGGACCCAGCUGUCAGCCUCUCCACGUAUAGUCCACUUCAGAUGCAUGUCGGUCGUUGACCACGUUGACCAGGCCGCGCCGAGAGCACCAGGGCGGUGAACGACGGUGAGGCCUAGGAAGGGAACGACACGGAGCCAGGGAAGACUCGACAGAUAUUUCCCACGCGGAGGGGAGUACGACUGUACGAGGGUUUACUGGUUCGUCUGCCGUCGCCGGUGAAUAACAGCAAGUGUGGGUGAGUAGAGGGAUGGCUAAGCGAGCGAUGGGAGUACGGUGGGGCGGUGAGGCCUGCGCGGCAGCACAGCCGGCCACGGGGAGGAGGGAGCAGGCAGUCCCGUCGGCGCUUGUUUGAGCGGCUGGAGCAGGAAGAGCAGAGAUUGAAGAAGCACGACGGCCGUUGGAUGGACAUCCAACAGUCACUGCUUGUGCGUCAACCUUUUUUUAGGAAAGCCUCAAAUCUGUGGAAAACAGCAUACAGCCCAUCUGCCAUUAUUUCUAAUAAUUUACAGCCCAUUUGCUAAUUCUUAAGGUUUUUUUUGGAGCCCAUAUUCUUUUUGUUAGCAUUACAGCCCAUAUUGUGGCCACGGUUAAAAAAUUAUACGAAAUUUUGCAUAUUUCUGUGCGGUCCGAACUAUUUUUAAUCCCGAAAUUUCGAGUGACAUUCAAACUGAUUUUAAAAAUAAAUGUAUAUCAAUAUAAAAUCCAACAAAUUGUCCACGCAUAAAAAUCAAAGCAAUUUAAAAUCUCAAAAUGAAAAAAAUGAAAUUUGAAACUAAUUGUCGGUUUGAUGUGUUUUAAAAAUGUACAGCCCCUUUCUCAUUACUGAUAGCCCAUUUUCUCGGCCAGCCGAAUGAAGCUCUCCUCGUCUUGAAAGAUUUGCAGCCCAACAGGCCUGACAAAGCGACGUACUUGGCAAAUCACAAAAAAACUGGGUUGUGGCCGUGGACCCAGCUGUCAGCCUCCACGUACAGUACUCGUCCGAUGGAAGUCGGUCGUUGACCACAUUGACCACGCCGCGCCGAGAGCACCAAGGCGGUAGACGACGGCGAGGCCUAGGAAGGGGACGACGCGGAGCCGGGGAAGACGCGGCAGUGGAUGCCCACGCGGAGAGGAGUACGAGGGUUCACUGGUUCGGCCGCGGUGUGAGGCUGCCAUCGCCGUAGAAUAACAGGGGGUGUGGGUGAGUAGAGGGAUGCCCUGGCCAGUGGUGGGAGUAGUAGGGGCGGUGAGGCCUCCGCGGCAUCACAACCGGCCAUGGGAGGCUGGAGCACGCGACACGACCGGCGCUGGUUUGGGCGGCUGGAGCAAGAAGACCAGAGGUUGAAGAAGCACUACUGCCGUUGGAUGGACAUCGUACGGUCACUAGAGCUAGAAUCGUUCAUAUUGACUAAGUUGACAAAGCCCUCCAUCCCCGUCAACUUAGUAGGCCCACAAGUCAGCCUCCCACCAAGGUGGGUCCCAACUAGCAAGGGAGUAUUCAUUUUUUUCUGCGUGAUAAGGAGGCACUUCUGGUGGGUCCGAGCUAACCGCGGGGGGAACGUUUUUCUGCGAAAUACGGUGGACUGUCCGGUGGGUCCCAGCAGUCAAGGGGGAAAUGUUUUUUCGCAAAAUACGGUGGCCCGUCCGGUGGGUCCCUGCUGUCAAGUGGAGGAAUCAUUAUUUUCCGCGUAAUAAGGAGGCACUUCCUUGCUGCGGCCGUGGACCCAGCUGUCAGCCUCUCCACGUACAGUACACUUCCGAUGGAAGUCGUUCCUUGAACACGUUGACCACGCCGCGUUCCGUUGCAUGCAUACGUCCAUGGGCGUGGUGCGUCCCCACUGUCAGCCUCUCACGUACAGUCAUCUUCCGAUGACUCUCGGUUGUUGACCAUGUUGAUCACACUGUGCCGAGCGCACCAAGGCCGGUGGACGACGGCGAGGCCUCAGACUGGAAUGACCCGGAGAUGGGGAAGACGGGGCAGUGGAGUCGCAGAUGGAGAGGAGUGGGAAACUUGACUGGUUCGGGUGCACGGCAGCACAGCCGCGGUGCCGCCCACGGGAGACAGGAGCAAGAACAGAGGUUGAAGAAGGAGCAUGGCUGUUGGAUUAACAUCCAACGGUCCAGCUGCUAGAAUCAUUUGUUGAUUAAGUUGACAAAGCCCUGCGUACACGUCCGCUUAGUAGGCCCACAAGUCAGCCAUCAAAUCUGACGGGUCCCAGUUGUCAACGGGAGGAAUAAUUUUUUUCGCAUAACAAGGAGGCACUUCCUUUCGUGCGAAGAUACAGCCGGUGGGUCCCAGCUGUCAGGUGGAGGAAACAUUUUUUUCAGCUUAAUAAGGAGGAACUUUCCAUGCGUGCGACCAUGGACCUCGUGGGUCCCAGCCGUCAGGCUCUCCACAUACAGUCCUCUUCCGAUGACUCUCGUUUGUUGACCACGCCGCACCGAGCGCAGCGAGGCGGUGGACAACGGCGAGGCCCCGGACGGGAACGACUCGGAGAUGGGAAGACGCGGCAGUGCAGUCGCAGAUUGAGAGGAGGAGAAGGGUUAUAACUAUAGCAAAUCAAUUCGCACUUCCGUCGACGGAAAAACAAAAAGAAAUCAAUUUGCAGCACACACGAGAGUCUAGUCCCGUGUACUGUACCAAAUCAAUUCGCACUACAAAUGUCAUUCAAAACUUCGACUUCAUGUUAUGUUCAAUUAAAAUAUUUCGCAACGUGUAUAAUGCAUGCAACCGGUUCUGGUGCGGCGUGGGGCUGCAGUCGGUGGAGAAUAACAGGAGGUGUGGAGGGCUGGAGGGAUAGCCUGGCCGGUGGUGGGGUAGCGCUUCGCAACGAUGCGUGCUAAGCAGAGCCGCUAGCCGCCGGAGGCCGGACCAGGCGAUCCCGGCGGCGCUAGAGGAAGAAGACGAGAGAUUGAAGGUACAUGUCAACCGUUGGAUAUAAAUCCAAUGGUUGUGGAUGACAUAAUCAUUUGUUGACCAAGUUGGCAAUGCCCUGCGUAGGCUUCGACCUAUUGGCCCACAUGUCAGCCUGCAAAAAUGUGGCAUAUAUUUAACCCAUGUUUUCUAGAAUGUAUAGUCCAUUUGCUGGGCUGGGUGAACAAAUAAUUUCGCGUCAAUGCAGCCCAUUUAUAUUUUCUAAGAAAUCCCAGCCCAUUUGCACUUCCUUCAAAUACACGAAUUAGCUGGGCUCGUUAUAUAUAUAAUGUUAUGUUAGAAGGAGCAAUUAAUAUCAAAAAAUAAACCGGAGAGGCACAUUUUUUAUAUACAUAAUUAACAAAUUAGCGAGUUAUUAUUACAUUAGUCCUUAAAAUCUUCGCAAGCUUUUGUACGCAAUUACCAGGAUUUUCCGUGCCUGUGAGUCAAAAACAACCAGGAUUUUCCUUGUCAACUUCUGUUAAACAUUUACUUUUAUAAGUUAAUAACACGUGGGAUGUUUUUAUAAUGUAUAUAUAAGUCUCUAUAAAAUAUACGAUAAUAGUAAUAAUAUAAAUAUAUAUAAUGUGGUUAAAAAAUACAUUGGGCUGCCGAUCUUUAAGAAAAAGCCCAUAGGCCGGUAUGGACCUCAAAAAAUAAGUUGAAACCACUGUCACCGUAUGUCGUGGGCUACGCAUGUUAAAAUACAAAACCUAGGCCUAGCUGAUACUUGUUCGCCCUCUGGAAAAAAAUGAUACCAGAUCCCCGAGCGAACUGGAUUAAAGAGGGGGCCGGCGGCACGACUGAAGAAGCACAUCAGGAGCGAUUUUUUUUCUUCAGUGGAUGGCUCUCGAUGGUGUUUUUUUACUUGCCUCCGCACCAUACAACUUAUAUUUUUAGCCUCCCAGUCCGUGGUGGACCAGCAACCCAUUUGCUGGGCGGGCCAACCUACAGAAACCAGCACUCGGUUUUUCAUUAAGCCCCAAAAACAACGCAGUACUAUGUUUGUUUUGAGGCCGAAAACAUUACAGCAGGGGUUGAGCGGGGGAGGGGGCAAGACAGAGCAAAAAGAUUAAAAAGAGCUGAUGCGCCGUUGCUACCCUAACAAAGCAGGUGCAAUUCUUCUCGGGAAGAAGGUGUGCCGUUGACACCCACACGUCACAUACCCCACAGUAGGCAUACUAACAAGUUCGCACACAAGUACAAUAGAAAGGUAAACAUUCAUAUCAAACUCAGGUUCAUAGGACACGUUCAUAUUCAUAGCCAACAUUCACUAUCAAUAACUCAAAAGAUUCAUAUAUACACAAGUUCAGCAUGUCUAUGGAUCCAAAUGAUUGAUAGAUCACACAACAAUAUUCAUAGAUAAUUCACAAAAAGAUUCAGAUAUACACAUGUUCAUUAUGUUUAUGCAUCCAAAUGAUUGAGAUCACAGCCAAUAUGAUCCAUGGACGAACUUUAAUUACCUAGGGUACAGACUGGUAAAUGGUGUUCAGUCAGAGGUCUUGCUAAAAUUAAUGCUUGUACGAGUAAACUUUCGAGUACAUAAGAGGCAGCACAGACAAUCUGAACUUUGCUUGUAGGUUUAUCCUCAAAUAGUGGCCUCGUGCCGAGGGAGGUUUGAGCAACUUGGCCACUACUUUCAUCCAACUAGUUUACUGGCUCAUCUUGGUCCUGUAGCUCGCCAAAAUUCUACAUUGCAGAUGAGAAAGGAGGCGGUUGAGAAAAUGAACCACCCAAAAUUUUUGUGCAGUUCAACUGAAAUGGAGCAUCCCUGGCGUGCAGAUUGAUUAAGUGCCAGAUGAAUAUACGCAUCAACCAACUUGUCUGGAAUCUUUAGACUCCAUGCCAUACAGUUCGCUACCAUAUCUGCCGAUAACCAAAAGGCACAAGUUGGGACCAAAGACUGGACUGUGUUUUUUUGGGCUAUGCGCCAAGCAAUAUUUUUAGCGUUCACUCUCCUAAUACCUGGAGUUUGACAACUGGUUGACGCCGGUUGAUAUUCGAAUGAAUAUAGGCACUUCUUAUCAACAUCGAUGCUUGUCUGAGUGAACUUUGGAGUACAUAGCAGCAGCAUAAGUAUCUGUCCAUCUGAUCUUUUUGUGCAGUUCUACUGAAAUCACCCUAUGCAAUGAUUUGCCUGCGAGUUCAGGCUCCAAGUUACUCCUUUAUAAAAUCGGCAAACAAUAGCACAAUACCAAAUUACCAAUACAUGACAAGCACAAUAAUCAGGAUAAAGACCAGUACCAACCUGUGUGAGGUAGCAUAUCAAUUACUAUUUUCUUUGACUGGAAGCCGAGAUAAGCAAAGCGACUGACAUCAAAGGAAGAAAGCAGGCCCAGAUUAGCGACUGACAGGAAAGGACGGAAGCUGUCGAGGCAAUGAAGCACCCAAAGUUUUUGUGCAGUUCCACCAAAAUUGAGCAUCCCUGUUGGCACAUAUAUUGAGAGAGUGAGAUUACUGUAAUAGUGGGACUAGUUGAUGAAACAUACACUAACAAAUAGAAGCACCCUCAUUAUCUUAAUGGGUAAAGUUAGCAACAUAGUAGUCUUGCUUAAAGAGAGGUAUUUGUUUAUUUAAUCAGUGCCAAUUAGCUCAACACUCAAAGCAUUGCCAUGUAUCAUAGGUUGCAAAACUUUAACGUGCAAAGAUAACGGAGUUUCUCAUGACAGUAGCACGAUAUAAAUAGAGAUGACAGCAAACUAAUAUGGAUGAAGGCCUUAGGCCGGUACAAACCUGAGGAAAAAAGCUUAUUCAUGUAGUCCCAUAAGAGAUGAUAAACCACUCACUGGAAUCACUCAAUAGUGUAUAUUUUUGUGCACUUCAAAUGUAUGGUUGAAAUCACUCUUGUUUACCAGUGUUGAGAUUAUAUCGAAAGAUUAUCAAGAACUUCCAGCAGAGUUAAAGCACUGGCUGGGAUACAGUUCAUUGUAUUGUCUUGUGUAGUUCCACUAAAAUGUAUGAUUGGCACAACAUGAUCCCUGUUUGCACAAGUAGGAACAAGGUGAAACCUUCAUUAGCUUGGUGAGAAAGGAUAGAAAGACAUUAGCAUAUUACUCUAACAGUAGCAUCAAAUUCAUGAUGGACAAUACGCAAAACAUUGCCUCAUUAAACCAAUGGCAAUAAAUUGACAUGCAAAACAAUAGCACUAUUAUGUCAUGACACUAAUAAUAUUCCCUCCCUGCUCCACCACAUGAUUCACCUCCAUAUACAAACAUACACACGUACAUGAUUCAGCAUAAGGUGCUACUAAAGAUUUGUUUAACUCCGACAGGAAAAUUAGGCAGCAAUAAAUUAGUGGUACUUAAGUACUCCUAAUUAAUUAAGUGACCUUGCAGGAGAGACAACAGAAGUGGAAGGGCUCCUUGGAGGAUCGUCUCACAUGUAAGGUAGAUGUUGCCGGAGCCCUAGAAUGGCCUCGACUGAGGCCUCUGGCUUCAGCAAGAUCACCUUGGCACUGUUUAUUCUUCUUCUCCUUCCUCUUCAUUCUCUGUUUCUCUUUCUCCUCACCAGUUGGUGAAACCAAGUACAUGAUUGGCCUUCUAUUUCUGAAUUGGUUUUGUCAGUGAGGGAGUACAAGUGUACUAGUAAACAAUAGCAUUAUUUUCACAUGGGAGUCGCAAAAUAGAGAUGAACACAUGUAUUAAAUAUCAUUCUUACCUAAAGGAAGCUUAUGGCGCUAAUAUGGAUGAUGAGGAUUGGAACACAUAUCUCCCUUUGUGAAGUUCCACCGAAAUGAAUCAACUAUUCCAUUCUGACAUUCCAGUUAAACAGCACAAAAGUCACUUCUUUUAAGAAGUGUUUUGUGCAGUGCACCAAAAGGUCACAACAGCAACCUGGUGAAAUGGAUAUCCCUGUUUGCACAAAAAGCUGCAAUGGAAACAGUCAAAGUCUCAAACAAUUACAAGCAAAGACAUUUGGCUAAACUUGUCAUGGCUUAUAACAGUGGCAUGGCUUCAUUUUACCAGGGGCAUUAGAUUAAGAACAGCUAAAUAUUUGGUAUAAGGGCAUGGGACAAUGGGUGCACCAGCAGUCCAGCACCAUGUACCUAAACAGGGGCAUAAAGUGGUGAUUCAGAGUUUGUUGCCCCGAGAAACAAACAUCCAAGAAACAUAUCUGGGUUGGUCCCAUUUUUGUUCAAUCUAACCACCUACUCCUAUGUGUGGAUAGCAAAUCUAGUCCUGGUCAUACCACUGUGUACAGCGUUACCCCGAUAUUUCCCUUUUCGACCAAGAGACCAGUUGGAUGACCAGUCUGUACUACUUUCACCCCUUUCCUUCGUGUUUGUACCAAGUCCGAUGUACAUACUAAAUUCCUCACCCCCACUUUAUUUCUUGUUUGAACCAAGUACAAGAUUCGACUCCAUGAAGUAGCUUUUUACCUCUAACAAUAGAAGAAGAAAAUAGGUGACGUUGGACCAUCUGAUCAAAAGGGGCUGAGAGGUAGAAAAUGAUGCACAUGCGGCGACGUAGAGAGCUGGGGAAGUAGAGCUAAGGCGGUUUCGAAGGAAGAUAUACCUGAAGGUCGUCGGGAUGUGGAUAGGUGGGCGGCAGGAGGCCGAAUCCGCCCACACUAGGGCAAUGACGAAGGGAUCGGAGGACCUCCCGCGCCGGCGCUCGGCCAGAGAUAACGGUGCGGCCGGCAGUGGGUCUCCUCCUCGCUGUCGACGACGGCCUAAACGCUGCCCCUCCUCCCCUUCACCGGCGGAGGGGGAUACGUCCGGAUCUGUAACCAACGGUGAGGAUAGAAAGACAGUGUUUUUUGAAGGGAGAAAGACAGUGUUACCACCCCUAUCUUGUUUAUCUAGAGAGGAUGAGAGUGUGUGAAUAGAGCAACCCUAGCAAGCAAGCACGGAGGCUCCGGCCUAUAUAUACGUAGUGGGUUAGUUUUGCUUUUUCACUCCAUCAAAACAAUCGUUUAAAAUUGUGUACUACGUGCCAGGUCGCCUUUUUUUUGUUGUUGAUUGUUUUUUGAGAUAGCUACCCGCUUGUUCCAAGUGGUGUUACGGUGUUCCAGAUCGUACUUUGUAUCGUUCAAGUCUGGUACAAGUCCCUCCAUUAAAUGAACAACCACCCCUCGUAAAAAUUGUGAACAAGCCCACGGCUAAAAUUAUCGGAAACGUGGGUUGCCCCAACAUGCAUUAUUAUUUAUAUUUUCUACUCCCUCCGUUCCUAAAUAUAAGUCUUUUUUAUUAGCCACACCUAAGACAAGAAUUUUUUUAUUAGCAGUGAACCCCACAUGUCAUAGACACAAAAAGUGUGGCAAGAUUCCCUUAGGCAAGCCAAAGUGUGUCUAACAAUUUGAGCAACUCAAGUUAGGCAAGUGUGGCAAGUGUGGGAAAAAUAAUGUGGCAACAUAAGACAAACAUAGUCACAAUCCAAACAGCCCUGUAAUUUUUUGUGACAUGCAUGAAAAUUUGGUUAGUUAAAUUUAUAGUCAAAACUUUGGCAAGGUGCAUCAAAUCAACACAUGCAAGUAUCAAAAGGGAAGUCACGGCAUGCAUGCAUGCAUGCGUUGUACUCCCUCCGUUUCCAAAUAUAAGUCUUUUUAGAGAUUGCAACAAGUGACUACAUACGAAGCAAAAUAUGUCUACAUACAUCCGUAUGUUGUAGUCCAUUUGAAAUGUGUAAAAAGACGUAUAUCGAGUGCAGUGCUUUGAUGUGUCGCGUCAACUCGUACAAGACCGAGAAGUUUGAUUACUACAACGCCCUCUCCCUCGCGGACUGAGCUCCGGUGCCUUAACUGCACCUGCCUUUGGCUGCAUGAAAGGUGGGCCAACCACCUGUUGGGCCCACCUGUCAUAGACGCAAAGGCAGGAGCAGUAAGUCAAUGAAGCUGCGUCCCUCCCUCGCGCAUGAGCGUGGUGGCUGGCAGGACUAGUAGGAGCUUUUGCUACACGCUAUCCCUCCCACACGAGGUGGACGGACAUGCAGCAGUGGAUUCGAUAUUGUAGAAGUAGGAGUAGCAUCAUUGUUCGUCUUCUCGAAGAGGCGAAGAGCCAAGUGCAACCCGAACGUGGCAGUUGCAAACGCUCGCGUGGUGCGGUGCCUUGGAGCACGCAUAUAGCCAGGCUCUUGCAUGAGACAAAAUUGCUAUUUGAGCCCACUAUUGUAGUAAUAGUACUUGCUAGUAUAGACCUGUAAACCGGAAAGGAGUAUUUUCCUUUCUAGAGAUUUCAACAAGUGACUAGACUACACCGCAUGCAGUACUCCCUCCCUUCCGGUUUAUAGGGCUCAAAUCUCAAAUCUCAUCAAGCAAGGCAUUUUGCGAUUGGAGGAAUGUAUCUCGUACUUUACAAAACUACCCUAAUUAAACUCAUGCAUUAAUUACGUAGUUCUCUCAUUUUCCUCUCCGCCUUGGUCGCGGUGCACAAUAUUGAGCACUCCUAUAUGACUAGCCGCUCUAUCUACAUGCGGGACAUCAAAGCAUCUGGGCCCGCCUGCCAUCCACCAAAUCACAGUGAGGUGCUACAGUCGAAACUCACCGGUCACCCCGGUGUGGCCGUCAUGACCUGUCAUAUCACAAAACACACACCUUUACCAGCAGCGGUAAAGUGGCCUCGAAGUUGGACUGGACGAAGCAACCAUCAUUUCACUGGAACGCUCGUUGAAGCCCUUUCUCCCCUUUCUUGAAGAAAUCCUCACCCCGGGCUACUCACUUCUGCCAUUUUUCUUCUGACCGACGAAGGAAAGGUGGGCGAAUCAGUGAUGCUGCUAUAUUUUCAUUCCAAGAAUCUUCUUUUUGCGAAUCACCGACCGAUUCUCACAGCCUAUUCUUUUCCUGUUUUCAUUGCGAUUGUGGUUUCCUUUCGAUUGCUUUUUGUUUGUCAGUUCAUUGAUGGAUCCUGGAGCACUAGGCAAAGAGUUGUCGGCGGACAACCCACUGGAGACAGCGAUCUCCAGGAAGCGAGCACCGACCAACGAGUUGACCAUGUUGGCGGGCCAACCCAUGGAGAAGAAGAACUCCAAGAAACAAGCACUGGCCAAAGAGUUGACGACGUUGGCGAACGAACUCCUCAAAGAAAGUUGGAAGAAUAGCAAGGGGCCCACCGUGCCUACCCCAGAAACUCUGAUGGCCACCUAUGCGAGGCUCAAGGCCGAGUUUGAGGAGAUAGUCGCCGUUGAGAAGCAGUAUUCCCCUGGCAAGGUGAUGGUCCCCAUCGAGGACGAGGAGAUGGCCCCCGGAGGGACGGGAUCCCCCGGUGAGCAGCACAAGGUAAAAAAUAAUGGCUUAUUACCAUAGUUGUGGUUUUUGAUUAUUUGCAAUGUGCUUGCUAAUAUGUUAGGGUUGUGCAGGUGCCGGUGGACGUCCUUGAUGAUUCCGAUGUCGCGGCCCGUCCUGUGGACAACGCCCCAGAGAUCGUUUUCGAUGUCGCGGUCCGUCCUGUUGGCACCGCCCCGGAGAUCGAUUCCGAUGCCGCUGUCCAUCCUGUGGACAUCGCCCCAGAGAUCGAUUCCGAUGUCGCGGUCAGUCCUAUGGACAUCGCCCCAGAGAUUGAUUCCCAUGUCGCUGUCCGUGCUGUGGUCAUUGCCCGAGAGAUCGAUGACAAGAAAUAGUUGGUCGCGCUAAUCCUUCAGGGUAGUUUGCAUUGCCCUGUGUUUAAUUACCAGAACGAUGCGUGUUAUCAAACCAUCUUAGGGCUAGUGCACUGUCUUGUGUGGGCGGUACUUGCUACUUUUGUUUGAUAGUGAAUCAUGCGAACCCCCUCCGAGUUAUGGAAACAGAUGUAUCCUCACCAGCUUUUGAUGUAAUAUAUGGCAUGCUUAGAUGUAAGUUUGAACUGUUUAUAAUAUCAGCAGGGCUUGUUUGAUGAUUCUUGGUGUUAGUAGGCUAGCUAUUGUGCGAGCUAUAGUACUUGCAAAACACUCGCCGAAGAGAAACGUUGGGGCUGAUGAGCUCGUGGUACGCUUAUACUUAUCCGUCGUUGAUCGGGCAAUAGCCCAAGCUCCUAAAAUUGUAGGCUUAGUCGACACGGAUAGAUUCAGGCCUCAUUUGGUUCAUAGGGUAGGAAAAUCAUAGCAAAAGUACAGAGACGUACAACAGAAAAUCAUAGCAGUACAGAGACGUAUUCCCUCCGUUCCAAAAUAGAUGACCUAUAGGCGGCUAGUUUGGCCUAGUGGGUUUUUUUAGGAUGGCCUAGUGGGUUUCAGUGAUAUGACAUGGUACAGUGUUGUCCAGUCUUCGCAUGUGGUAGCAGUAUUGCGGUACAGUAAGUUUUCUUGAAGAAGCGGAAUUCAACGAAGUCAUGAUGGUUCCUUCGUCCGACCAACUUACAGUGGGAAAGGUUGGGCCUGCGAUACGACAGGGGUAGACCAGGAUAAUUUAAAAAAAAUAGUAUCACUGCUGAUUUAUAUUUAUUUUUUAUUUCUGAUGAAUGCUAGCAUUUCAACUCUUACGACGAAGAGUGCCAAACACAGCACAUGCUGGAUGUCCCACACGUCAGCGAAAGGAGUGGGACAUGAACAGCGUGGUAGAGCGUCUCCACUUCUUCCACUUCUGGGUCGGAGACCACACGUAGUAGUACUAGUGGUAUGAACGAUACAAAGUGCGACCUGGAGAGAAAGACACGUCUAGUUGGAAGGUCUCGGGGCAUACACGUAAACAAAUAUAAAAGCUAAUAUGUGCCUCCAACUAAUAUAGUAGUAGUAGAGUACUUAGGCACGUACUCCAUAACAUCACCGUGCAUUGCACGUACAACAUUUAGUGGUACUUAGACACGUCUAGUUGCAUGCACAUUACGUAGUAAGAGACAAAUGCCGCCCAAGAGUUCCCUUCUCGACCCACUUUUGGGUGUUUGGUAGAGUGUAUGGAGGGUGCAUGAGUCCACACUAGUUUAGCACAAAUACACUAGAAGCAUGCAUGAAGAGAGCAUGCAUGAAAAGGGGUGUUGAGUUGACCAUGCAUGAAGAGGGAACAACUAUGCUGAGACGAGAACGCAACCAAACACACCCUAUAUGCCACGCAUGUUCAUACCAUUUGUGCCUUUCUACUUCACUUACUCCGGACUCCCCCAUGGCCCACCUCACAUUAUCACCAUAUAUAUUUCUUGGAGUCCAUGCGCGGCGGGCGGGCGAUCUCUUCUCCCUCCCCCAUCUCUCUCUUCUCAGCCGACGCCCGCCGAGCGAUUAGAUUUCGGCUAUCGACAGUUUAUUCAAUUGCAGUCCCACAUGUUAGUGAAAAUGCGAGACAACGCGUGUCCCCUCUGGUAAGCGGCGUGCGAGCCGGACUGUCGGGGUGCGACGCGUACGAGUCGUAAGUGUGCCGCCUUUUCCUUUUGAACUUGCAAAGCGUAACAUUUUCGUGCGAUCGAUCAUAGAAAUCCAGAACAAAAUGAUGAGGGCGGUGCUUUCCCACGUGUUAGGCGGGCUAGUUUGAGUGAUAUGACGUGCUACAGUGCUGUCCACUUGCUCCAUUUUUAUGUAAGUAAGAGUCUACACUGUUACGUGGGAGGAGUGCGAAACACGGCAGAUCUGAUUUUGAUUGAGGGAAAACUGUUCCCUGCGAAAUAAUGGAGCACUGUUAGCGAUUAUAGCAUAAUACUUAGGGCAUCUCCAGCGCUGGCCCUCUAAUUUACACCGGCAUCUGUCCGAGGACACUGAUGGAUGCCAUCCAAUGCUGCCCGCAUACCUUUCGACAACUAUAUGAACUAACCGGACGAAAUUCGUGCAAACAAAGCAAAUUUCUCGAAGAAGGACGCGUAAAUGUACUAGUACUACUAGUACACAAUAGUGUCGUCCGUCCAGCUUAGUGCGGUGAGAUGGUUUCUCAAACAAGACGAUGGAGAAGCGGAAUCAGCGAAGAGUUAAAUGAUGGUUGCUUCGUACGUGCUUUGUGAUUUGAUGCCUCACUGCUUUGUGAUUUUUGAUAGAAGGGACAGGGGAGUAGACUCUGUGCUCUAUACUGUACAUGCGUCCAAGCACGGGAGAAAGAGGAGAGACGUUGCAUUUUUCUAUUCCUUCAAUCAAUCAAUCAGGGAGCUUCGGUUCCAUCCUUUUGGCUUUAGCAACACCGUCCACAAUGGUUCCCACGAUGCCAAAAGCUAUUUUCACAUUUGGCUACACAUUGUGAUGCCCUUAACUGUACCACUUGGUUUUGCUCCUGUGUGCUAUCUAUACAAAUCACAAUUAUAUUGAUCUAAAAAAUUAUAGAAUCAAGAUUAGUAAAAAGGAGGUGAUUUUGCCGUGCGGAUGACGGGGGAGGUUUCUUAUUUUUAGAGGACGUUGUCCUGGCGGUUUGCUAACAUGCGGUCCCAUGUGUCAGUGCUUUACCAAGCCGAUCCGCGUCCCACAUGAGGUAGAACAAUGGCAGAAGCAACACGUGGUUAACUUGAAGAAGAUGAGGGAGAAGCGGAUUCAGCAACGAGUGAAAUGAUGGUUGCUUCGUCCCUCCAACUUCUUUUUUUAGCAUUAUUACUUCGUCCCUCCAACUUAACUGCGGGAAAGGUGCAGCUUUAUGAUUUGACGCCUCAUUGCUCAUUACUAUGUCGGCGCCAUGACUGGGUGCUUCACCCCGGCUGCUCUGCACUGUAUUCCGGUAUGGCACGUGGACCCGGUAGCUUGAUGUCCCACAUGUCGGCGAAAGGGACUAGAAGAUUUAUGAAAGCGAGCGCUCCACUCUUAUGACGGAGGAGUACACGACACGACGGCCCAGUGAACUGUCACUUGUACUGUAUAGUACUAUAGUUUUGCUGUUUCGCACGAUCCAUCGAUACAAACCCGAUUAAACAGGAAAGGGCGGGAUUUUUCCCGCGCGAUAUAUGAUACUGGCCAUACAUUUCAAAGGCAGUUUUAAUGUAUGCAAACUGAAUAAUUAAGUAACAAUAUGAUAUCUAGUAAAACUAAAAACACAUAUGAUUUAUUGUGUUAGAGUGUAGUAGUAGUGCUGUAUUGCAUAGUUGUUAGAUAUAACAUGCGAGAACGUGUAGAGAUGUAGUUUUGGAGGGCCAACACAGAGAAAAGCGUAAUACGGUCACCGAACUUCAGAAUAAGCUGAUUACGGUCACUAUAUACGUUUUGCGGUGAUUAUACGGUCACUUGCUCACGGUUCAGCAUCGGAUUGCACUCUGUUGACCGGCCAAAUAGUCUGCGUGGCACCAUGUUGACUAGUUAAAUUGACCACGUUCCGUGUGGGUCCCACCUGUCAGUUCGCAUAGGGAAAAGGUCAGAUAAACACAAAUUUACGCAGGCGCGGCAAGACUCCAACCCGUGCGCGGGAAUCACCUGGUUGUUUAUAUGUCUGUCAGGGCCUGAUGUGUGCGCAUGCACGUGUAGGUUGAGCACUUGAGCGUGAGAGUGUGUGUUGGUCGUGUGGUGUACAGGUCUGUGCAUCCAUGUGUGCGUGUGUGCGUGUGAGUGUUGCGUGCGUGCGUGGCUGUGUGUGUACGUGUGAGUGUUGCGUGCGUGCGUGGGUGCAUGUGUUCGUGUGAGUGUUGCGUGCAUGCAGUUCGUGUGCAUGCGUGCGUGUGUGUAUAAUCACCACACCAGCUCCUGUGUGUUAAAACAGACGGCUCGGCAUACCAAUACAAGGCCACCUUGUCCGCUGUGCCCGCGGUCAUGACUUCGAACCACCGUCCAAUAUUUUUUUGUCGUUUGUUUUCAUUCUUACUAGCAAGAUGCCCGUGCGUUGCACGUAACAUCAAGAUGCAUGUGUAUGACUAGUUUAUCUUGUGAGAGAAAAGGAUGAACGAGGGAAGGCCUUAUUUGCAAAUGUGGAGAGGUGUGUGGGUACCUUUUUGCAAAAUUGCCAUAGUUUCUUUCCUAUCCGUCAGAUAUAAAUCGGACGGCCUAUAUUGCAGGAUGGCAGGCACACCAUCAUCACCAACUCUGUUUUUUAUAAGAGUGUAUUUUAUAAGAGUGUAGAUGUAGAGUAGAUACAAGCCGACAGGUGGGCCUGAUGGUAGUGAGAUAAUGUGAUGCAACACUAGAGGUGCCACGUGGAGCGUUUAACAGGUCAACUAGUCGUGUCUUGAGCAAAUACAGAGUUGUACGGUGAGCCCGUGACUGUAUAAUAACCACAAAAUAUAAAUGGUGACCGUAAUGAGUGGAUUCUGAAGUCCAAUGUACGUAUCGUGCUUUCGCUUCAAAUACAAUGAUCGUCACUUUAUAUAUCGCGAGAGAAAGAUGAAACAUGCGUGAAGGUGCUGGGGGCUUACUUUUAGAGGACCUGGAGAUAGUUUGUGUGCGUACGUGAAAGGGGCGUAGAGGGGGGUAUGCGAUGGAGAAAGAGAUGCUCUUCGUUUCUCUUUAUUAUGACUAACUUUAUAUAUAGUAUAAAAAUAUACAAAUUCACAGUGCGGAAUAAAUAUCAUUGUGGGCACCGUGCAAUGCAAAUUAGCGUUCAUACUCCUCCAUAUAACUUUGUAAUGUUGUAUAUAUGUAGAAAUUCUAAAAUAAUUUUUGGCCACACUUUAUUCAAAAGGAAUGUUGUAUGCGAAAUAAAUGUGAAGAGAGGGCUUUUUAGAUCAAUGGGGUACGUGAUGUAACAUGUGUGAAUGUGUAGUUGAUGCAUUUGGCAGGGCCUAGAGAGGUAUGUGUGUGUAUUACGUAUUCGAGAGAGGCAUGGAUAGAGGGGCUGGCGGGGGGGCGUGGGAGAGAUAGCACGAGAAAUGAGAGUGGUCUAGAGAGAGAGACGAAUAUGACGUCAUGGCGAGAGAUUCCCUUGAGUGUGUAUAUGCAAGGGCGGAGUGGAUAGAGGCACCAGGAGAAUAUAUUUUUUGUGUGUGGUGUCUGUGUUGGUAUGUGUGGGUGUGAGAAGAUAACGAGACGUGGGGGCAGAGGGUGUGUCACCGUGUGAGGUCCGGUGGGUCAAGGUGAGGCCCUUCGUUCGGUUCCGUCCUGCGCCACAUUGGUCGGCCCGUGACGCAUUUAGGGAGAUCCAUGAAUGACUAGUCGUACAAGACAAAGAUAGCAUAAUUGUGAAGGACUCUGUGUCCACUGACAAAGCCGGCUAGGAUUUGUAACCCUAGGUUCUUGGACUAAGGUAACCCCUUUAUCUCUGAUAUUAAUAUUCAUCCAACCUAACUUUAAGGGGCAUCCUACAGAAUGCUCUGCUAGAAUCAUACUCGUCGAUUAGGAAGAGAGGUGUGAGACAAUGCGUGAUAGACAGGCCUAAAGAUAAUGUGCGUACAGGAGACACGUAGGCAGGUCUAUGUAUAUAGAAAGGGUCGAUGGGGAUUGUGCGUGUGUAUGCUUGCGAGAGGAAGAGUGCUUGUGAUAAAGGUUAGUGAAAACAGUCGUAAAUGGUUACGAGAGGGAGGGAGGGUUAUAUCAAGAGCAUGUGUGCGAGAAAGACACCUCGGGAGAGAGUGUGUGAGCAUGUGUGAGAGACCACCGAUGGAGAGUGAAACUACACGUAAAAGACUGCUGUACACAUUGAUUAAAGAUAUAAAUUGUAUCCAAAUAUUAGGAUGGGAUCACGAUAUUUGCAAUUCGCGUAAGGAACGGUCAUUGAUCCAUCAGACAUCUAGAUUCUAUCGAAUUUGAGCAUGUCUAUGUUAUUAUUCGACACAAUUGAUCCAUAUAGUUAGUAUUUUGAACUCCAGACAAUGCAUCACUUUAGCAAUCGAAUAUAAACGUGAGUAUAGUUCAUGUUGUGUGUGUAAAGCACAUUAUACAUACGAAAGUUACACAAUGAACAUUAUAAAUAGCUACCUAUGAACUAGCAUACAUUUGAAUUCAACUUAAGGUGGUUUUAAAAAAAUCGAAUUCAACAUGAAGUCCAUUCAAUUAUUUGAAUUUGAUAUCAUGGCAUUUGUAAAUCAUACCUAAAUUAUGGGGGCACCAAUCUUUGCUUUGAUUUUGUACAUAAUAGCAUAUGUAGUCGUGUACAAAAUAGAUUCAAAUUUAGCUCCUCCAUUCCAAAAUAAUCGUAGUUAUAGGAUUUUCAAGUGUCAAAAUUUCAAAAAGAAGCGGAUAAUUUAAUGAGGUUUUCAAACAUAUAAGGUCAAAUUUAACAUUGUCUAUUUAGGUCAAUCCUCAAAGUUCAAGAGUACUCUAAACGUGAACGCUUGUGUUUCAAAAUUUCGAACGAAGCGCCAAAAGAGCCUCUACUCGCCCGAAACCGCGUGAGACCAAUGUUUGGUAGUACAAGGAAAUUACUUUUCUAAUAACUCCGACCCGUGAAACCUACCGGCCCGACGUCCAAAGGUCUAAACCGGGGUAGGUUUGUAGCUUCAUCUAGACGUCAUGCAACCGCCUCCGAAAAACAUUCAUACACAAUGGCCACCUAAGCACACAUGCGCUGAAAUCGCUCCCGCCCACUAUUUGGGACACCUGGGAUUACCAUCCUACCCCCAACCCACAGUAAGUCCGAAAUUUGAGAGGGGGGCAAAGUUUGUACUUUCCCCAAAUUUCAAACAAGCGCGUCCCAUCUUCUGUUCAAAAAAGCCAAAAACAAGCGCGUCCCAGACCGAAACAUGGUUUUCCCCCUCCCCCCGCCCACCCGUUCGAUUACCCAUUCGUACUCCAUGGGCGCAAAAACUACCUCUCCACCAGCCGCGAAACCCCGGCGUCCUCCGUCCGCCACCCCAUUGUGACGCCCUCGAUUCAAUCGUACACUAAUCAUACACGCAAAUGUGUACGAUCAAGAUCAAGGACUCACGAGAAGAUAUCACAACACAACUCUAGACACAAAUUAAAAUAAUACAAGCCUUAUAUUACAAGCUAGGGGCCUCGAGGGCUCGAAUACACAAGAGUCAGCGGAAACAACAAUAUCCGAGUACAGACAUGAGUUAGACAAGUUUGCCAUAAGAAGGCUAGCACAAAAGCAACAACGAUCGAAAAGACAAGGCCUCCUGCCUGGGAGCCUCCUAACUACUCCUGGUCGUCGGCGGCCUCCACGUAGUAGUAGGCACCCUCGGGGUUGUAGUAGUCGUCGGUGGUGGCAUCUGGCUCCUGGACUCCACCAUCUGGUUGCAACAACUAGAAAGAAGAAAGAAGGGGGAAGGGGUAGCAAAGCAACCGUGAGUACUCAUCCAAAGUACUCGCAAGCAAGGAUCUACACUACUUAUGCAUCGGUAUCGAUGAAAGGGGUAGUAUAUGUGGACUAACUGCAGAAUGCCAAAAUAAGAGGGGGAGAAGCUAGUCCUAUCGAAGACUAGCAUCUUCUGGAAACCACCAUCUUGCAGCAAGAGGAGGGAGUAGAGUAGUAUAACAUAAGUCAUAUUUAUGUUGUUGUAUCAACGCUCCGGGAUCCUUUCUCGACUCCCGAAGAAACAUAUCCAAAUCAUGCCUCAGCAUCCAGUUCUAGUUGUAUCGAUCGGGAUACAACUCCGAGUGUCCGUUACCGUAGGACAGGCUAUCGAUAGAUGUUUUCUUCCCUGCAGGGGUGCACCAACUUACCCACCACGCUCGAUUACCUCCGGCCGGACACACUUUCCUGGGUCAUGCCCGGCCUCGGCCAAACAAUACGCCGCAACCCGACCUAGGCUUAAUAGAGAGGUUAGCACGCCGGACUAAACCUAUGCCCCCAGGGGUCAUGGGCCAUCGCCCCGGGAACUCCUGCACGUUGCGUGGGCGGCCGGUGAGCAGACCUAGCUACCUCCUUCAAAAAGGCGGGUGCUUACCAGUCCAACCCGGCGCGCGCCGCUCAGUCGCUAACGUCUAUUAAGCUUCGGCUGAUGCAUACGACGCAGAACGCCCAUACUAUGCCCACGUGAUGGUUAGUGCUAUCAGGCCAGAGGCCCCUUGGAUCAAAUAUCCAAAUCGUAGUGGAUUAGGAACGCGCGGUAACAAGCAGAGACUCACGAAAGAUGUGACCCCGUUGCCCCGUCUCGAGGACUUGCGGCAAGGGCCUCGUAAUUAUCUCGCGGGCACCCUCCAGGUCAACCCGACUCCUCAUCACUCGCAAAUAUGCUUGCGCGGGUACCCCUCAGGGCCGACCCGUCUUUAGUAACAGGGUUCAGUGUAAAGUCAUAGUAACCAUAGUAACCGUGUGUCUAACACCAAGGGGAAAACCUGAGGAAUCACCCUUGACGGAUUCCACUCGAUGUAAUCAUCAAGGUGAACGUAAGAGGAUCCACCCUCGAGGUUCACACUUGAGGGGUUGCACGACAGAGUCAUAUCGGAAGUGGUUAAGGCGGAAUCACCCUCGACGACCACGACUGAAUAGCUACACUACAGGGUUAACAUCAGAAGUGCUGAUGAGGUCUCACCCUCGGCACUCGAUAGUAACCCAGUAGUGUCGAGCAACUAAGGGGAAAGUGAUGUGCGGUGCCGGGGCCUAGUCUUUGAUCCCGCUGAUCGGGUCUUCGAUGAUGAAGCAGGGGCAACAAGGACAAGGUGGGGGUCACUGAUGGAUCACUAACCAACCUAUACUAAGCAGUUUAGGAUAAGCAGGUAGGUAACAAUAAGCAGGUUACAAAAGCAGGCUAUGCAUCAAAAUAGGAGCAAACAAUUACAGUAGCAAAAUCUAAUGCAAGCAUGAGAGAAAGGAAAUGGGUGAUAUCGGGAUGAUCAAAGGGGGGCUUGCCUGGAAGUUCUGCUGAAAAGGAAGAAGGGUCGUUGUCGACAUAGUCGAUCACAGGGGCAGCAUCAGUCUCAGGGUCUACUGGAGAGAAGAGGGAGAAGAAACAGUAAAUACAUAGACAACAAGGCAUCACAAGGCAUAACAUGGCAAUAUGCGGUGCUAGAGGGAAAACUAGCUUCUCCCCAUCUUAUUCUGGCAUUCUGCAGUUAGUCCACAGAUACUACCCCUUUCAUUGAUACCGAUGCAUAAGUAGUGUAGAUCCUUGCUUGCGAGUACUUUGGAUGAGUACUCGCGGUUGCUUUGCUACCCCUUCCCCCCCCCCCCUUCUUUCUUCUUUCUGGUUGUUGCAACCAGAUGGUGGAGUCCAGGAGCCAGAUGCCACCACCGAUGACUACUACAACCCCGAGGGUGCCUACUACUACGUGGAGGCCGCCGACGACCAGGAGUAGUUAGGAGGCUCCCAGGCAGGAGGCCUUGCCUUUUCGAUCGUUGUUGCUUUUGUGCUAGCCUUCUUAAGGCAAACUUGUCUAACUCAUGUCUGUACUUAGAUAUUGUUGCUUCCGCUGACUCUUGUGUAUUCGAGCUUAUGUAUUCGAGCCCUCGAGGCCCCUGGCUUGUAAUAUAAGGAUUGUAUUAUUUUAAUUUGUGUCUAGAGUUGUGUUGUGAUACCUUCCCGUGAGUCCUUGAUCUUGAUCGUACACAUUUGCGUGUAUGAUUAGUGUAUGAUUGAAUCAAGGGCGUCACACCCAUCCCACCCAUCAACCGCCGCCCUCCUCCAUCACGCCGGAGUCGAUACCCCGACGUCGUCGUCCACCGCAACCUCAACCGCAACACCCUCCACGGCUAGUAGUUGAAGCUGAGGCCGAGCCGUCCGUACCCAAGCCAGUUCAACCACGCCGUCCUGCGCCUCACCGCUGCCGCUCCAACUUCGCCACCCUCCACCGCACCGGAGUUAUUCCUGCUACGCCGUCCUUCGCCGCCUCGGAUCUGCUUCCCCUCCGCCAAUAUACGGCCACGGCAACACAGUCAACAAUUUGGCCAUGGGUUUGUCCAAGGAUCCACUGUUCUCCAAAACAUCGGUUCCCCGGGAGAAAAAAGAAGAUCGCCGCAACAUAUGGAGGAGACCACACUGGCAACCGAUAAGGGUACUCCUCUUCCCUUAUUCGUGCAAAUCUUACGUGUCUGCUUGCACGCUAUUCAUCCCACAGAAGACACUAGUUGACCGCUUCUUCUUGAUACUAGAUGUUCCUAGUAACUCGCGAUGCACAAGGUUUCUCCUCAUAUACUAUUUCACCUUAGCUAGAGGUCCGUCGCCCCCCUGAAUUUCAAUUCCUGGUCAGUUGAUUCCCAAUUAACAGAAGCAUUCCCCGGCGUAACAGGCGCUAGUCCGCCUAUUACGCCGGGGAAGCAGCGCCUUGGUGUUUAUCUAAGGGGCGUGUGGGGCCUAGAGCUACUGGCGCCCGAUCUGGAGGUCAGCCGGGAUUAAAGGGAUGGCAUGGGGGCGCUGCCAAGCACGGCGGUGGUGUGAGGUCGAGGGGAGGGCGGGGCGGCGGAGGCAGGGGUCUGGGCCGGUGGUCGCUGGCGGUUCGAGAAAGAUCGUCAACAGUGACUGGCGGGAGGUAGUCGAAGGCCAUCUGCCCGUUCCUUAUAGAUCGGGCGGUUCAUUAAAAAAAUUGACUGACCUAUUUCAGUCGACUGUUAUCUUGAUAUGACCACAUGUGGUGGUGUGCUGGAGGAGUACCUGCAUUUCCUGUGCUCAUAUAUUACAAAAUCAUACGGAGUAGAAUCUAGUAAUUUUGUUUGCCAUGCAAUGUUGUAGAGCUAUCAUAUGUCUCCUGUCAUUUAUUUUUCAGCCACCUGCUAUCUGCUACUUUUACAGUGCACUAGUUCUGCACGCACUUCACCCAUACUCUCACUAUUGUGUUUCUAUGCAAGGGUAUUUCAGAGUCUGCCUCGAGAGAAGCAGAAAAGAAAAGACAGAAGUUGCUCCAGCUUUCUACGCGGGUAAGCACGGCACGUUACAGCGCUAUAAAGGGUGCAGUGUCAGCAGAUGGAGACGAUAAAUGUAGCUCUGGAGUUGAUGACCUCGCUCGCAAUGAACCACCAUCCCAGGUGUUUGCUUUAACUUCGCGGUGUCAUAUGUGGUUGCAUGUUCCAUAUGGUGUCUAGCUUGUAUUCGAAAGGCCGAAGUCGGUCUUUAUUAAGAUAAGGGAAGAUAUUUUUUACAUGAACCACCAUCCCGUGAGCACCAGAAGACAAAUAGCUAGUCAGGGCACUGGCCAAGCCAGUGACAAGCCCAGCAAAGACAGGCAUCACCUGGAAGCCAACUAAAAAGCCGCGAUGAUGGCGAAGCAGCCCGCCUCCCAUCAGGCUCUCAGGUCCUAGAUGAUCAUGCUCACCACUCCAGCCGGAUGUCUAGCUUGUAUUGCUUCCAAUUUGGUUAAAUUGCAUCUGCUUAGCUUACACAUUAUACCUUUGAAUAUGACAUGCCUUUCUGUUUUUGGUACAUACUAGUACAUCUGUGUAUUAACCAUGUUCUUACAUCAAACUAAUGUUCUUGUGUAUCCCUCAUCAAUCACUUAUGAUGAGGCAGUCAGGAAAGUGGACUACUCCUCAUUUAAAGAAUGCAGCGUCAGCCUCCCGACAUGAUUCUCAAGAAACAGCAAGGCUAGAUGAAGAUAGUGAAUGUAGCUCUGUAGUUGAUUACCGCAUUUCCCCUACACUAGCAUCGCAGGUGCUUGCUCUAACUUGGCAGCGUGAUAUGUGGUUGCAUGUUGCAUAUGGUGUCUAGAUUGUAAUUCUUCCAAUCUGGUUAAACUGCAUAUGUUAUUCUGAUUAGCUUAUACAUUAUACCUGUUAAUGUGACAUGCCUUCCUGUAUUUAGUACAUAGUACAUCUGUCUAUUAAGCAUGUCCUUACAUAAAACUAUUGUUUUUUUUGUAUCCCGCAUCAAUCAAUAUGACGAGACACCUUUAGUAUAUGCAGUGCGAUAUUAGUUGCAUCUUUCAUAUGAUUUAUAGCAUGCGCUGCUUCUAAUUUGUUGAAAUUCCAUUUAUGAUGGGACGCUUUUAACUUGGCAGAGUCAUAUUGGUUGCAUCUUUCAUGUGGUGUCUAGCUUGCAUUGCUUCUUAUUUGUUGGAAUGAUUUCUGCUUAGUUUACACAAGCAGUUGUAAACAUGCCACGCCGUCCUGUUUUUCGUACAUAUUCCAUCCUGGUAUCAUGUGUUUGCUUUACAUCAAAGUAGUGAUUGUCAGUAUCAUGCAUGAAUGAGUUCUGAAGAGAGAAUGUUAUUGCUUUUUCUUGUCGGUUUUACUUGACAAUUCAAAAUCAAUAAAGCGGAAGGAAGUUAGCAAGGCAGUGGAUAAAGGUGCUCCUUCCAAACGGAGGGCCUCUAUAGUUUCUACUCCUCCAUCCCCCCAGGAUGAUUUCCAAGACAACACAUGCAUAGACACUCAACGUAGCUGUGUUUAUGAUGAGCGCGUCUCCCCUAGUGCACCAUCACCGGUGCUCCCUCUAACUUGGCACUGUUAUAUGUGGUUGCAUGUUAUGUGUGAUGUCUAGCUUGUAUUGCUUCUAAUUUUGUUGAAUUCCAUCUGCUUACUUUACACAUUAUACUUGAAUAAGACACGUGUUCAUGUUUCUAGAACAUACAAUAUUUGUCUAUCACACCAUGUUCUUACAUCAAAUUACUACUGUUGUGUAACCUGCAACAAUCACUUAUCAUAAGACACAUUUGACUUCGGAGUGUGAUAUAGGUUACAUCUCGCAUUCUUUUCUAGCUUGUACUACUAAUUUGUUGAAAUGGCACUUAUGACGAGACAGUUUUAACUUGGUAGAGUGAUAUUCGUUGCAUCUUUCAUAUGGUUUCUAGCUUUCAUUGCUUCUAAUUUGUUAAAAUGCCUUCUCCUUAGUUUACACAUCAUAAGCUGUGAAUAUGCAAUGGCACUAAUGACGAGAGACCUCUAACUUGGUAGUGUGAUGUUCUUUGCAUCUUGCAUAUGAUUUAUUUCUUGUACUGCUUCACAUUUGUUUAAACACCAUUUAUGAUGAGACACUGUUAACUUGGCAGAGCGAUAUUUGUAGCAUCUUUCAUAUGGUGUCUACCUUCCAUUGCAUUGCUUCUAAUUUAGUGAAAUGUCUUCUGCUUAGUUUACACAUCAUAGUUCUGGUUAUCUCUUCCAUCCUAUUUUUCGUACAUAUUACAUCCUCCUAUCAUGUUGUUGUCUAACAUCAAAGUUCAGUUCGUCUGUAUCAUGCAUCAAUUUGUUCUGAAGAACUAAAUUGUUAUUCGUUGUUCUUGUCGGCUUGACUUAACAUGGCACAGAGAAAGAGGAAGAAACACAGAAUGGCAGGGAAUGGGAACCGGAAGAAUCCUGCAUAUUCUGCUGGUACUGAUGGUGCAAUAGAAGGUCAAAGUCCAGCGGAAAAUUCUACAAAUAGGGUAUCCCAUGCUACACGAGCUGCAAAAAAGCCAAACAGAAACAAAUAGCUGCCACCAAACAAGCAGAGACAGCCCUAGUUCUUGCAACACCUUCCACAAUACUACCAACUUCACGAGUUAGUCGUGCGUCAACUGAGCUAGCAGCACGUUCCCAAGCUCCCUUGCCACCUGACACUACUUCCCAAGCACUCUUGACACAAGACGAGUUGGCAAGAUCAGAUGAACCUUGUGAGCUUCAACAGCAAGAAGGUAGUUGUUGGAGUCAAGUUACAGUUGCAUGCUUCUUUAUAUGUAGUCUCAUGGUUUGAUGUACACUAACACUUCCUAUGUUCGUUGUUGGACUAGCACCUAGGCGCAAGAGGAAACAAACAUCAGGGAUAAUGCUCGAUAGGUUAACUAAUUCUAGAGGAGGAAGAAUGGAGAUCCGUUUUGAGGCAGGUUUAAAAAGGCCACGUGAUGCUACAGAGUCAGCCAAGUUAGUAUCAGAGGCAGCGGUUGCCGUUAGGUGUCAUGUACGUAUCCUCCGAACAUGGAUUCAGUACAGGAAUGACAAAAACGAAACCCAGUUCAACACCUUCCUCGACCAUUUAUCUGUAAGUAUGGUUAUGUAUGGAAACUAGUAAUAUCGUCUUGCUCUGUCCCAUACUUUCUAGGUUGCUGAUAAUGAGACUCCCAUAAUUUUCAACAGAUGAGGUUCAAGUUGGAUAGCCAAGAUGAUGCAACCAGACAAGCUUGCACCCAUGUUUUCAAGUCUGCUCUGCGACAGUAUCGGUAUAACUUGAGGAAAACUCACUUUGAAGGCAAGGCUAACAGUGAACUUUCCCAAACAUCUCCAGUGGAAAAUAUAUCGAAUGAAGACUGGAGGGGCCUCGUUAAACACUGGUCUGAUCCGAAGUAUCAGGUACAUUAUAUAUAUGUGAUCAGAUCACAUGUUGAAGUCCUAUUUACGCAUGUGCCACACAAAUCUAUCUUCUUGUAGGUGAACUGUUCAAAGAACAAGGCCAACCGUACGAAAGUGAAAUUCCAACAGACGACAGGAUCUCGUAGCUAUAUUGCACACUGCGAGGCUAUUGUAAUUAGCUGUUUUUUCACUCUUUUCAAUGUACCAUAUUAUCAGAUCUAUAUUGACUUGUUCCAAAUGUAGAGGAAAGCCCGCAAGGACCAAAAAGUACCUGAACCAAAUGUUGUGGAAAUCUUCAAGGACUGUCACACCAGCAAGAAGAAGGGCAUGACUACACCAGUCAAAGCCGUUGUUGUAAGUCCUUAAUCCGCAUGCCUUUUAACUACUACUUACUCUGACUUGUGCCUUGAACUGCAUGGUUUGCAGCCAAUGUCUAUUACUCUUUUCAAUUUUAUACACAAUUGUCUUAGCGUAUCAUUGCACCUUACAAGGUUUAAAAGAGAGGAGUGAUGUUCCUUUGAUCUUGACCUGUAAUCUAGUUCCGUGCUGGACUUGCCCACACAACGUUACAAUUGCCUGUUUGUCUGUUCUCAGUUGUUUUGUGAUAUGAAUGAUGUCAUACUAUGCUUACGGUAUUAUAAACUUCGUCUCUUUAUCCUUAGCCCUCAAUACAAUGUGAAGAAAUAAACAAUACAUUAGCGAUGGUACAUGGUCAUAUGUUUGGAACCUAGUUUUAUUAUGUACUUUGCAAUAAAAUACAACUAAUAUUUUACACGGGUUCACCAGAAUAAGUUCUGUAUAUAGACCAAAGCUAUUUUGUUUGGUUUUGCUGCCUCCUUAAUAUCUUCUGUUCUGGUACUACUAAUGUAAAACCUCAACUUUUCAGCGAGCUAUGGAAAAAAUGGUGGAACCGCCACCUUCUGAAGGUGGCGAGGAAACUAUAACCGCAAUGUCAGCUCUUGCUGUAGUGGGUCAGUACCUGUCCACUAACAGUGCCAAAAGCACGUUCCUGCGUAAUACUGGGUUGUUGUUAAGGCAAUCUCGUCCAAACUGCCUCAUGAUCAAGAUAUGCAAGCUCAAAACAAUGUUGUAUCUGCGCCAGACACAAGUCCAUUCCCUAACAGAGACCCUUUGUGAAACAAGGAGAGACAUUGUUCGAUGUUGUCAAGAUAUGCAUGGUUUUGAAACCAGACUAUCAGACAUUUGCUAUGUUGUUCAGGAGCCUAGGAUAACUGAAGGCAAAGGUUAUGGUGCUCCAUCGGACAAUACAGCGUGAAAACGUAACAGUCAGGUCAAAUGAACUGAGCUUCUGAACUUCUGGUGGUGCAUUUAUCUGCUAGACUGUUAACUUUUAUGCCAACCUUCCUUUUGUUUUAUAGUUGUAAUUUGUUUUGGUGCGAUACAAAAUUUGUUCUUAACGUGCAGCCACCGGCUGAAGAAAACAGCAAGCCAUUUUUGUAUAGUGUAGGGUGUUCCCUAUAUUUGCACUGGUGGCGAACUUUGAUGCCCAGUGGAUGUAAUAUGUGUAAUAGCCGUGAUAGCCUAGCGUAAGUUGCUUGCUUAUUUAUUUCCUUAUUGUCUUGUUUAUUUGUUUUCUUGUAGUCAGUGCAGUUCUUUUUCCGCGGUUUGCUAGUGGCCGCAAUAACCUAUUUUUUAAAACUAGGCCACAAUAACCAUGGGCUACAUAUUUACUGUAGUUAACAUGGGCCUCCUACGGGCCGUAGAAACAAUGUGCCUUCUAAGGGCCAUAUAAACAAUGGGCCUUCUACGGGGCGUAGACACAAUGGGCCUUCUAUGGGUCAUAUCAUCAAUGGGCCUUCUACGGGCCGUAUGAGCGGUUGGCCAAACAUGGGCCAAUAACAGACCACAUUAUGGUCGUAAAUGGACUAGAGUUGAAAUCGUCCGUUCAUGGGCCGACCAUAACGGGUCGUCGUUAAUCGGCCGUAUUUGAUGACGCUAUGAAAACGGCCCAACGUAUUAACGGGCCACAAACGGGCCGACUGUAACCACGGGCUGAAUUUGGCCCACAAACAGAAAAUGACAGUAACGGGCCGUAAGUAAACGAAUGCUGGAAAUGAGCCCAAGAAUAAAUGGGCCCUGAGAAGGCCGAAAGAUAACAUGGGCUGGAAACGGCCCAACCGAAUAAUGGGCCCUUAAUGGGUAUAAAGUGAAACACUGUUCAUUACGGGCCAGUUUUACCACGGGCCGUUAAUGGGCCGAGAGUUACUAAGGGCCUCAUAUGGGCCGAAAGACGUCAUGGGUCAUACAUGGGCCGGAAGUUAAAACGGUUUGGAAUUAUAUAGGACGGCCCAAAUGACGCUACUAGGCCUAAUUCGGAUAGGCCGUAAACGGGCCCUGGGUUAGGGGGCUGUAAAUAGGCUAUAUGCGAACAGGUCGUUAACAGGCUUGCCGUGGGCCGGCCCUCCACCUUUUUACCAAGUCAAACGGGCCGACCUUUUCACAGGAAUGGGCCUCUGUUGGGCCGUGCCACGUGUCGACGUAUCAUAGGCGCUUUGGGUCCAAUGAGUGGAUGACAUCUGUCCCAACGGUGAGCCGACACGUGUUUCCUCCAGCCAAUGAUGAUUUUACACGUGGAAAAUGUUGGAAAUAUGCCCUAGAGGCAAUAAUAAAUGGUUAUUAUUAUAUUUCUUUGUUCAUGGUAAUUGUCUAUUAUUCAUGCUAUAAUUGUAUUGUCCGGAAAUCGUAAUACAUGUGUGAAUACAUAGACCACAACCUGUCCCUAGUAAGCCUCUAGUUGACUAGCUCGUUGAUCAACAGAUAGUCAUGGUUUCCUGACUAUGGACAUUGGAUGUCAUUGAUAACGGGAUCACAUCAUUAGGAGAAUGAUGUGAUGGACAAGACCCAACUUAAGCAUAGCAUAAAAGAUCGUAUAGUUUCGUUUGCUAGAGCUUUUCCAAUGUCAAGUAUCUUUUCCUUAGACCACGAGAUCGUGCAACUCCCGGAUACCGUAGGAGUGCUUUGGGUUGCAUGUGAUGUUUUCCAAUGUCAAGUAUCUUUUCCUUAGACCACGAGAUCGCAUGUCAAGUAUCUUUUCCAAUGUCACUAUUUGAUUGCAUGUGAUGUUUAUCAUGUUUUUGCAUCUUAUUUGCUUAGAACGACGGUAGCAAGUAGGAUGAUCCCUUAUAAUAAUUUCAAGAAAGUGUCCACCCUAACUGUGCACCGUUGCGAAGGUUCGUCGUUUCGAAGCACCACGUGAUGAUCGGGUGUGAUAGAUUCUUACGUUCGAAUACAACGGGUGUUGACGAGCCUAGCAUGUACAGACAUGGCCUCAGAACACACGCAAUACACUUAGGUUGACUUGACGAGCCUAGCAUGUACAGACAUGGCCUCGGAACACGGAGGACCGAAAGGUCGAGCAUGAGUCGUAUAGAAGAUACGAUCAACAUGGAGAUGUUCACCGAUCUUGACUAGUCCGUCUCACGUGAUGAUCGGACACGGCCUAGUUGAACUCGGAUCAUGUUUCACUUAGAUGACUAGAGGGAUGUCUAUCUGAGUGGGAGUUCAUAAUCAGAUGAACUUCAUUAUCAUGAACAUAGUCAAAAAGGUAUUUGCAAAUUAUGUCAUAGCUUGCGCUUUAGUUCUACUGGUUAAGAUAUGUUCCUAGAGAAAAUUUAGUUGAAAGUUGGUAGUAGAAAUUAUGCGGACUGGGUCCGUAAACUGAGGAUUGUCCUCAUUGCUGCACAGAAGGCUUAUGUCCUUAAUGCACCGCUCGGUGUGCUGAACCUCAGCGUCGUCUGUAGAUGUUACGAAACAUCUGACAUACACGUUUUGAUGACUACGUGAUAGUUCAGUGCGGUUUAGAAUUGUGGCACCAAAGACGUUUUGAAACGUCGCAGAACAUGUGAGAUGUUCCGAAGACUGAAAUUGGGAUUUCAGACUAGUGCCCACGUCAAGAGGUAUGAGACCUCUGACAAGUUUCUUAAGCCUGCAAACUAAGGGAGAAAAGCUCAAUCGUUGAGCGUGUGCUCAGAUAGUCUGAGUGCCACAACGCUUGAAUCGAGUGGGAGUUAAUCUCCCAGAUGAGAUAGUGAUAGUUCUCCAUAGUCACUGCCACCAAGCUAGUAGAGCUUCGUGAUGAACUAUAACAUAUCAAGGAUAAUCAUGAUGAUCCUUGAGCUAUUCGCGAUGUUUGACACCGCGAGAGUAGAAAUCAAGAAGGAGCAUCAAUUGUUGAUGGUUAGUAAAACCACUAGUUUAAGAAGGGCAAGGGCAAAAGGGAUACUUCAUGAAACAGCUAGUCGUUUGCUGCUCUAGUGAAGAAUCCCAAGGUUGAACCCAAACCCGAGACUAAGUGCUUCUGUAAUGAGGGGAACGGUCACUGAAGCGGAACUACCCUAGAUACUUGGUAGAUGAGAAGGCAGGCAAGGUCGACAGAAGUAUAUUGGAUAUACAUUGUAUGAAUGUGUACUUUACUAGUACUCCUAGCAGCACCAGGGUAUUAGAUACCGGUUCGGUUGCUAAGUGUUAGUAACUCAAAAUAAAAGCUGCGGAAUAAACGGAGACUAGCUAAAGGUGAGAUGACGAUGUGCGUUGGAAGUGUUUCCAAGGUUGAUCAAGCAUCGCAUGCUCCCUCUACUAUCGAGAUUUGGUGUUUGCGUUGAACAUGAUUGGAUUAUGUUUAUCGCAAAACGGUUAUUCAUUUAAGGAGAAUAAUGGUUACUCUGUUUAUUUGAAUAAUACCUUCAAUGGUCUUGCACCUAAAAUGAAUCUCGAUCGUAGUGAUACACAUGUUCAUGCCAAAAAGAUAUAAGAUAGUAAUGAUAGUACCACAUACUUGUGGCACUGCCACUUGAGUCAUAUUGGUAUAGAACGCAUGAAGAAGCUCCAUGUGGAUGGAUCUUUGGACUCACUCAUUUUUGAAAAGAUUGAGACAUGCGUACCAUGUCUAUUGGUAUAUAUGCAUGAAGAAACACCAUGCAGAUGGAUCGUUUGGACUCACUUGAUUAUGAAUCACUUGAGACAUGCAAAUCAUACCACAUGGGCAAGAUGACUAAAAGGCCUCGUUUUCAGUAAGAUGGAACAAGAGAGCAACUUAUUGGAAGUAAUACAUUUUGUUGUAUGCAGUCCAAUGAGUGCUGAGGCAUGCAGUGGACAUCGUUAUGUUCUUACUUCACAGAUGAUUUGAGUAGAUGCUGAGUGUAUUUACUUGAUGAAACACUAGUCUGAAUUAUUGAAAGGUUCAAGUAAUUUCAGAGUGAAGUUGAAGAUCGUCGUGACAAGAGGAUAAAAUGUCUGUGAUAUGAUCAUAGAGAUGAGUAUCUGAGAUACGAGUUUGGCACACAAUUGAGACAUUGUGGAAAGUGUUUCACAAUUAAUACCGCCUGGAACACCAUAGUGUGAUGGUGUGUCCGAACAUCAUAACUGCACCCUAUUGGAUAUGGUGCAUACCAUGAUGUUUCUUAUCAAAUUACCACUAUCGUUUAUGGGUUAGGCAUUAGAGACAACCGCAUUCACUUUAAAAGGGGCACCACACAAUUCCGUUGAGACGACACCGUUUAUAGAAACCUAAGUUGUCGUUUCUUAAAAGUUUGGGGCUGCGAUGCUUAUGUGAAAAAGUUUCAGGUGAUAAGCUCGAACCCAAAGCGGAUAAAUGCAUCUUCAUAGAAUACCCAAAAACAGUUGGGUAUACCUCCUAUUUCAGAUCUGGAAGCAAAAGUAACUGCUUCUAGAAACGAGUCCUUUCUCAAGGAAAAGUUUCUCUCGAAAGAAUUGAGUGGGGGGAUGGUGGAGACUUGAUAAGGUUAUUGAACCGUCGCUUCAACUAGUGUGUAGCAGGGCACAGGAAGUUGUUCCUGUGGCACCUACACCAAUUGAAGUGGAAGCUUAUGAUAGUGAUCAUGAAACUUCGGAUCAAGUCACUACCAAACCUCGUAGGACGACGAGGAUGCGCACUACUUCAGAGUAAUGCGUGAUCCUGUCUUGGAAGUCAUGUUGCUAGACAACAAUGAACCUACGAGCUAUGGAGAAGCGAUGGUGGGCCCAUAUUCCGACGAAUGGCUCGAGGCCAUGAAAUCCGAGAUAGAAUCCAUGUAUCAGAACAAAGCAUGGACUUUGGUGAACUUGCCCGAUGAUCGGCAAGCCAUUGAGAUAAAUGGAUCUUUAAGAAGAAGACGGACGUGGGCGGUAAUGUUACCGUCUAUGAAGCUCGACUUGUGGCAAAGAGUAUUUUCACAAGUUCAAGGAGUUGACUACGAUGAGUUUUUCUCAUCCGUAGCGAUGCUUAGGUCCGUCGGAAUCACGUUAGCAUUAGCUGCAUUUAUGAAAUCUGGCAGAUGGAUGUCAAAACAAGUUUCCUUACCAGUUUUCGUAAGGAAAGGUUGUAUGUGAUACAAUCAGAAAGGUUUUGUCGAUCCUAAGGAUGCUAAAAGGUAUGCUAGCUCCAGCGAUCCUUCGAUGGAUUAGAGCAAGCAUCUCGGAGUCAGAAUAUAUGCUUUGAUGGGGUGAUCAAAGUUUUUGGGUUUAUACAAAGUUUGUUAGAAACUUGUAUUUACAAUAAAGUGAGUGGGAGCGCUACAACAUUUCUGAUAAGUAUAUGUGAAUGACAUAUUGUUGAUCCGAAAUGAUGUAAAAUUUCUGGAAAGCAUAAAGGGUUGUUUGAAAGGAGUUUUUCAAAGGAAGACCUGGAUAAAGCUGCUUACAUAUUGGGCAUCAAUAUCCAUAGAGAUAGAUCAAGACGCCUGAUGAUACUUUCAAAAGACAGCACACCUUGACAUGAUUUUGAAAGAGUUCAAAAUAGAUCAGCAAAGAAGGAGUUCUUGGCUGUGUUACAAGGUGUGAGUAUUGAGUAAGACUCAAGACCUGACCACAGCGGAAGAUAGAGAAAGGACGAAGGUCGUCCCAUAUGCUUUAGACAUAGGCUCUAUAGUAUGCUAUGCUGUGUACCGCACAUGUAGUGUGCCUUGAGUUGGUCAAGAGGGUACAAUGGUGAUCCGGGAAAGGAUCUCAUGACAGCGGUCGAACUUAUCCUUAGUACCUAGUGGAUUAAGGAAUUUUCUCGAUUAUGGAGGUGGAAAGGAGUUCGUCGUAAAGGGUUACGUCGAUGCGAACUUUGACACUAAUCCGGAUGACUCUGAGUAGUAAACCGGAUUCGUAUAGUAGAGCAAUUAUUUGAAAUGGCUCCAAAUAGCGCGUGGUAGCAUCCACAAGAUGACAUAGAUAUUCGUAAAGCACACGGUUCUGAAAGGUUCAGACCCGUUGACUAAUAACCUCUCUCACAAGCAUAACAUGACCAAACCAGAACACAUUGAGUGAUAAUCACAUAGUGAUGUGAACUAGAUCAUUGACUCUAGUAAACUCUUUAUAUGUUGGUCACAUGGUGAUGUGACCAGUGAGUGUUAAUCACAUGGUGAUGUGAACUAGAUUAUUGACUCUAGUGCAAGUGGGAGACUGUUGGAAAUAUGCCCUAGAGGCAAUAAUAAAUGGUUAUUAUUAUAUUUCUUUGUUCAUGGUAAUUGUCUAUUAUUCAUGCUAUAAUUGUAUUGUCCGGAAAUCGUAAUACAUGUGUGAAUACAUAGACCACAACCUGUCCCUAGUAAGCCUCUAGUUGACUAGCUCGUUGAUCAACAGAUAGUCAUGGUUUCCUGACUAUGGACAUUGGAUGUCAUUGAUAACGGGAUCACAUCAUUAGGAGAAUGAUGUGAUGGACAAGACCCAACUUAAGCAUAGCAUAAAAGAUCGUAUAGUUUCGUUUGCUAGAGCUUUUCCAAUGUCAAGUAUCUUUUCCUUAGACAAUGAGAUCGUGCAACUCCCGGAUACCGUAGGAGUGCUUUGGGUGUGCCAAACGUCACAACGUAACUGGGUGACUAUAAAGGUGCAUUACGGGUAUCUCCGAAAGUGUCUGUUGGGUUGGCACGGAUCGAGACUGGGAUUUGUCACUCCGUGUGACGGAGAGGUAUCUCUGGGCCCACUCGGUAAUGCAUCAUCAUAAUGAGCUCAAUGUGACUAAGGCGUUAGUCACGGGAUCAUGCAUUGCGGUACGAGUAAAGAGACUUGCCGGUAACGAGAUUGAACAAGGUAUUGGGAUACCGACGAUCGAAUCUCGGGCAAGUAACAUACCGAUUGACAAAGGGAAUUGCAUACGGAUUGAUUGAAUCCUCGACACCGUGGUUCAUCCGAUGAUAUCAUCGUGGAACAUGUGGGAGCCAACAUGGGUAUCCAGAUCCCGCUGUUGGUUAUUGACCGNNNNNNNNNNNNNNNNNNNNNNNNNNNNNNNNNNNNNNNNNNNNNNNNNNNNNNNNNNNNNNNNNNNNNNNNNNNNNNNNNNNNNNNNNNNNNNNNNNNNNNNNNNNNNNNNNNNNNNNNNNNNNNNNNNNNNNNNNNNNNNNNNNNNNNNNNNNNNNNNNNNNNNNNNNNNNNNNNNNNNNNNNNNNNNNNNNNNNNNNNNNNNNNNNNNNNNNNNNNNNNNNNNNNNNNNNNNNNNNNNNNNNNNNNNNNNNNNNNNNNNNNNNNNNNNNNNNNNNNNNNNNNNNNNNNNNNNNNNNNNNNNNNNNNNNNNNNNNNNNNNNNNNNNNNNNNNNNNNNNNNNNNNNNNNNNNNNNNNNNNNNNNNNNNNNNNNNNNNNNNNNNNNNNNNNNNNNNNNNNNNNNNNNNNNNNNNNNNNNNNNNNNNNNNNNNNNNNNNNNNNNNNNNNNNNNNNNNNNNNNNNNNNNNNNNNNNNNNNNNNNNNNNNNNNNNNNNNNNNNNNNNNNNNNNNNNNNNNNNNNNNNNNNNNNNNNNNNAGCAACAUCUAAGCCUUGGGCGCCUCCCUCCUCCCCUGCAACACCUCUCUCUCUCGCAGAAGCUUGGCGAAGCCCUGCCGGAGACCUGCUACAUCCACCACCACGCCGUCGUGCUGUUGGAUCUCCAUCAACCUCUCCUCCCCCCUUGCUGGAUCAAGAAGGAGGAGACGUCGCUGCACCGUACGUGUGUUGAACGCGGAGGUGCCGUCCGUUCGGCACUCGGUCAUCGGUGAUUUGGAUCACGGCAAGUACGACUCCGUCAUCCACGUUCAUUGGAACGCUUCCGCUCGCGAUCUACAAGGGUAUGUAGAUGCACUCCUUUCCCCUCGUUGCUAGUAGACUCCAUAGAUGCAUCUUGGUGAGCGUAGGAAAAUUUUAAAUUAUGCUACGAUUCCCAACAGAAAAUCCCCAUUGGUCGGGGCUGUUAACGGGUUAUCGGAUCCAAAACCAGACCCGAUAGCUUACCGGCGUUCUGUUACGGUGGAUGCCACAUGUAGGUCACCCUUGACGAAAGCACUUCUGUGACGCGCGAUUUAUCGUCAUGGAAGUGGACACUUCCGUGAUGAUAAUUUUGUAAUGUCAUGGAACACUUCUAUGACAGCACAGGUAUGACUAUCUUGAUUCUGUCAUAAAAUUGUCAUGGAUGUACAUGCAUGACAGAAAACGUGACCUACUGUGACAAACACGCAUCAUCACGGAAGUGUAUUUUUUUGUAGUGGCGGAAGCAUACUCACCCCUAUUGCACCCUUCCUACUUCCCCGUCCUUCUUCUCCUACCUCUCCUCCUCCCUGGAUCCUCCUUUGUCUCUCUUUUCUACAAGAAAAAUCGAAGCCCCGCCAUGACCUUGAGCUCCCUCUGCCAACCAUGGAGGCCCACCUCCACCUGAAGGACUUCGCGCUGCUGCGCCGGAUCCGUCCUUCUUCUGCGCCCGCUGGAUCCCGCGGCCGCAGUUCUUCAUCGAGCAGAUGUGUCAUCCCCAGCUGCUCGAGCCGCCGCGUUGACCUGAUCCAGAAGCUACUUUCGAGCGCCGAGGCGAGGGCGGCGAGCGGGCAGAGGUGCGGCUGCGGCGGUGGGCGCAUUGAGGUCGGCCGUGGCGGCGAGCGGUGCGGCGGCUAGGGGGAUUUGGCUCGGCCUGGGCGCGGGUCAGGGUCGAAGCAAGGAGGCAGAUGCGUACAAUUAUUUUUUCCAGUGAACCGUUUUUCUGGCAGAUUAAUGAUGGAACCCGACGGAAAAAACCGACGAAACUGGGAGGUGGGAUCGUUACUGCAGGGGAAUUGGGAGGUGGGAGGGAGGACGAAAAAAACAGGAGAGGUGGGACGAAAAUUAACCGUGGAACGGAGAUUACCAACUGAGACAUUAGGAGUAGAGACUAUUCACAAUUAACUACAAGGAGAUUGAAGAAGGAAUACAUGCAUUAAUUCAUUUUAUCAAAACAUAAACCUACACAAAUCAUAUGGAGAGCAAUUGUACUAGAGGCCUGCCAGUUUAACGCAAAGGGCGGCUUGCUUCCCCAUCGCUCAUUAGAGGGGAACCACUGCCUGAUGCUUCAGCUGGAGGGGAAGGGUCCCUACCCUGGACGAACCAAAGUUAGUUCUUGGGUAAGGGGAUGACGGUGGCCGGCAAGAGGGCAAGACACCGGCUGUGUACGCGGUGAUGCCUCGGCGGUGGCCUUCCUGGGACCCAAGCGGCGGCGGCCUCUCGUAUUCUACAUCUGCUCGAUGAUGGCGGACGUGUUGGCCGCCACCUCGUCGCCAUCCGCGUAGCUGGCUACUUUCUCUGCGUGCAUGGCGUGGCUACGCACGCGUCGGCAUCGGAUAGCGCGGUCGAAGGCCCUGGAGGCGUCGUCGACGGCGGUGAUGAUGCACGUGCCGCCGUGCUCCCCGCUGUGCCAGGAUGGAGCAACUCGCCACUCCUCCGCGAGCUGGCUUCGAGCGGCGAGUUGUUGAACCACGCAUCGGCUUGCGGUGGCAACUUCAUCUGUUGGGCUAGGCGAGGGAGGUGAAGCAACAAGCUACCUUGCUCGUAUCCGUCGGGCUCGGCGGGCCACUCAGCCGGCUUUUAUGCCGGAGAACUGCUCUUCCAGCUCGUCGGAUGCCAUCGAAAGAUUGGAGAAAAUGGUGGAAGGAGGAGAUGGAGAGAGGCGAAGUGGUGCGAUUCUUGCCCGGCGUCUGCCCUUGUUUAAAUAGAGGGCGGACGUGAGGAGCCUGCCCGACAUUGUGUUUAAUGCCAGCCCGCUCGUGAACGGACGUCUGGCCAGAGUAGAUUUUUGGGCUUCCAUGCAGGUUCAAUAGAGGUGUUUAAAUGCGGCGAGGAGGCGUGUUCAGCCGGGUAUGCAGCAGGCGGCGCCCUCGGCCGGCGCGCCGCUUCAAUGGCGGAGGCAGUGAGAGGUCGCAUCCAUCCUGAGCCGCCUACAAUGUGGAGCGGCACGCUCUACGGCGGCAUGAAUGCGGGCAGCUGGACGACGGGUGGAAAGCAUGAGCGGGCGGAGUGAGAGGUUUUUGGUGGGUCGGGGCGGUCAGAAGCGGGCGUGAUAGUGAUCCGGACUUCCGUAAACCUCCAUGUUUCUCACCGGUUUGCGGAAAAAAACGUGUUCAAACCGUGUCGCGGACCGAUACAGAAUAGCGUUGGAUGGCUUUCACGGUCCAACGGUUGCAGGAGGUUUGCGGGUCAGCGUUGGAGAUGGCCUUAGAACAAGGUCUUUUAUUGUAGCUCCAAUGUUGUCUUUUAGGAAGAUUAUACAAUUAGGAGGACUUAUGCACUUUUCUCCUGCCCGGCGGCGCAUCUGGCGUGGUUGGAGCUACAAGAUGGAGCCUUUGACGAUGUCGCAGUGUUAAAAAAAAGACCAACCCAAGAGCUAACCCUUGUUGGCAUUUUUAUAGAAGAAACUCCACGAGCUCCGCGUGUUCGAGCCAGGACUCAAACUUGGGUGGGCUCGCGGCAACCUUAGCUGCCCAACCAACGGGUCGACACCCCGUCCUCACGAUGUCGCAGUGUUAAGGGAGAAGAGCCGACCAGAGAUGGGUUUGGGAGGUUUAAAUCAGGUAAACAUUUUUCCACAACAAUAUUACUAUUAGCGACUAUUUCAGCUCUCUACUUUCUCCAUCCUCAAAUUCACCGGUAUUACAAAAAUCAAUAUCUACUAUCAUUACUACGCUUUUAUCAUUAUCUCUUCGCUGAACUAGUGCACAUAUAUAAAUUACCAUUAUAUUUGAUUUAUUGGGGACACAAGAGAGCCUUCAGUUCGCCCUCUCUGUGGUGCAACGAUGUCUAGUAGUUCUCGGUCGUUAGAUCGAUCAUCAUUUUGAGUUACCGCUCUCCGGGUCAAAGUGGGGGAGGGGAUGGGGCAUAGGAAAGAUGGGUUUCAUUUGGAUUCUACUAACAAAGCUUAUCCAGCUCACUCCUGUGUUUGUGGUUUAUGAAUCUGAUUGUAAUUUUUUUUAUGACAGAUCAUGAAUAGUAAGCAAAGAAAUUAAUAAAAAGGGAUUCUGUUACAAAUUAUUCUUGCAUUAUCGGAGCUUGGGAGGUAAAAAAAAUACCGAUGUACACAUGAACACUGCCUGAUGCCUCAGGACCGAAAAUGUUAGUUGUUAGAGCAUCUACAACUGGACUUGACAAAUCCGUCCCUCUAUACGCAUGCGGACUCGUUCGUGGAUAAUGACGGGUUGCAUCUUUUAAGUUUUUCUUCGCACAACCGGACACCUUAGUUAGCAAACCUUAAAUCCAUACAAAACACAUGCAAUGUACGUAAACGAUGCAACACACAUCAUCCGGUUAUUACAUCAUGACAUACCAUCGAACUAUCAAACUUUGGCAUGUUCUACCUACAUAUUAGCUAUGGAGAAGCUCAUCCAUGGUUGCCCUUGCCCUUCCCGGCGCCUUUGCCAUCUUUAUCCCGGAAGUACCGGCCAAAGACGCCAAUGGAUCCAACCGGAGUUGAGUGAUCCGUCGAUGUCUUCCUUCUCAACUUUCGGGGGCAGUCCAGCCAUGACACAGACCGCCCGGUUUUGCUCUCGGAGAACUUCCUCAUACGUAGAGCGCGCGCCGCCGCAUCUGCUGCCGCCAUAUCGACAGCGAGGCAGGCCUCGGGCUUAUCCUCUUCUUCCAACGGCCCGGAGAUGGGGAGGCUACCGGACCGCGAAGAUCCUACCCCGGUAGAUCGAGUGUCCUCUGCGUCGACACAAUGGAUUCGCACCGAAAAGAUCCCCCGUCGGUCAGGCGCAGUCCUCCCAGGAGCGCCAAAGGGCAAUGCGUACGGCCAUAGCAUCCUCCAAACCUCACUGGACGACACACCCUAGUCGACGGAUCCAGACUACUUGAAGUCUGCUGGAGAAGGCCGGACGGGAGCUUGGGUGGCAAAGUGGAGUGGUUAGGUUUUGGUCUGGGAAGAGAACAGAGACAAAUAUAUGUGUGGUUGAGGUGAGCCAGAGUAGACCGCCAUUGAUGUGGUCCCGAGCCACUCCAUAUUCGCACUAAAUUUGGACUGAAUACGAGGGAUGCCAAUCAGCCCCGAGCGUUUGAGGCAACCGUCUAGAUCACUUUUUUUAUUGGUCACUGACAGCGUAGGGUUGAGGCAGCCGACUGUAGAUGCUCUUAGGAGGCCGCAGGGCGAACAUGACAGGAAACAGUGACCUCUUUCUCUGCAAACGAGCCUGCGUACGUGCAACUUGUCCUGAGCACUAUGCAGCAUACGACUUGAGACACUCACAGAUUCAGAGCCAUGCCAAAUAAAAAUGCUGGAAUAACCAGAUAUUCUCUUUCAAAGCACACUCUAAAUAAGUCGAGAAUUCAACAGAGGCAACCACCAAAAUUUACUUGCAUGACUCCAAUAUAACCAGAAACACGUUAUAGUACAGUUGGCCAAAAAGGAACAGAUCCCAACCCACAGAACAAGAGUAAAAAAGCACAAACAGGUCUUGAACAAGAAAAACGCCUCAGGGAGCCGCAAGCGUUCUUCUUAUUCUCCGAGUGUCAAAAUCAACCUCAAAUAGAUAAAGACAUGUUCCCACGCAGUUCCAAGUGUCCAGGUGCCUCUGAAGGGAAUACUGACCGCCGCAAACCCUAAUCUCUGCUUUGCCUCAAAGGUAUUACACGGAAGAGGCUAUUCCCCUCCCAGCCAAUCAC
rnacentral:lncRNA from 1 species